rnacentral:lncRNA from 1 species
UACACACCACCACCACCACCAGAAGAUGCUCUAUGUAUGUUACAAAGAAUCAGAACUAUUGAUGUGCAGGAUAUGAUAUGCAUGUAUAAAGAUUGAACACACAAGGUUUUAUUUCAGGAGUAUUCUCCUGCAAAAAGAGACAUUGAGAACUUAGAAGCUGGUCUAGGUUAUUUAUAAAGUCUUCAGGAUUUUUUACCUUUUAUAGUCAUAGUUGCGUAAUUAGGCACAAGUCCACAAGGAAGAUGAAUGCAAUUCCGUGGAGUGAUUUACUUAAUAAUAUGGUGUCUGCUUUGACUAUAGUUUUUACUCCCCAAUUGGUGAUGUAUGUCUGUACUCCUAGACUAAACAGCUUCAUUACAUUGUUUUAGGGGCCUGGAGUUUUAUAUUCACCCUCCUGGUCGUUAGGCACAAGUUUUCUGCCAUGUUUCAGUUAUGGUACACUAUAUGGUUUUCAGCUAAAAAAGAUGAAACAAUGAAGAUAUGGUCUUCCUUGCCCAAUAGGACACUGCAGAAAUUUUUGAGUUUCUUUUUCUUUCUUUUUUGGGUGGGGAAGUGUGCCUUGCGAGAAGCCGUGGAGAUUGCACUGAGAAGGGAAAGGCCAACUGAGGCUACACAGGUCGCAUCACGCAUGUCAAUGUAGGAUGAUUCCAUGUUUUAGGUUGCAUUAGAUUUAAAAGAUAUUUGGUUUAUGGUUAAUAACUCCUGUAAGGAAUUGGAACUUCAAAUCUCAUGUAUAAGUGUUUGGAUUAGUUAUUUGAUUGUAUGGGAAUCUCAAUCCUUUUACAUGGUUAAGUCAUACUCUUCCCAUCCCUUAGAGUUUUCCAAACACCCCUGAGUAGCAUUACUUACAUUAGGAAUAUGCUUACCCAGAAAAUCUAAUAAAGCGCUUAAUUUAAGGUGCCUACUUAUAUAAAAGGUUUUUUUUAUUGCGUGCUCAGUUAUUUGUUCCAACUUGUAGCCUCAUGUAAAUAAGUAAUGGUCUAAAAAAGACAAACAAACUUAUUUUAAUUGCAAAUCAGAAAAUUUUAAAUUAAUAAAAAGGGUUGAAAAAAACUAGGAAGUAACUUAGACAUGUUAGUAUUUAAAACUAAACCUCAGAAAAAAGGGGUAAGGAUUUUGUACACUUUUACAACCAAAUUUCCUAGCAACUAUUUUACAACCUCAGAAACAAAAAGAAAAAGGGUCAACGCUAAAUGGGUGGGAUGAAAAGGCAGAGACCAAAACUGUGUCACUAGUAGAAACAACUAAACAAGAACUAUACAGACCUUUUUAGCCUACUCCAAUUGAACUUGUUAGUUUCCUGUCAUAAAGAAGAAUUCAGAUUGGUGGCCGCUUCACAAGCUCCGGUCCCUUACCUGUCGAAGAAUCAAAUUGCUGCAUCAGCUUGCCUCCGUUUCCUUCAAGUGAAAGCCUUCAUAUACCGAGACCUGCCUGCAGGAGUUGGCCCAUGAACAUGAAAAUUUGUUUGUAUAAAGCUGGCAUUACAAACAGAGAGAAUACUAUUAUCAUUUCAUGAUACAAAAAAAAUUCUUGAACUUAUUCUGGAAAAUAGGAAUCCUUGAUGGAAACACACUUCAAUCACUACAUAAAAGGAUACAUAAAAACAAAAAAAAAUCUCUGAAAACCCUGUCAGAGGCAGACGACAUUUCCAGGCAAAGCUUUAAGAUAAGAGUUGUACCUGAUGAUGGUCCGAAGAUCCGAUGCUUCCAGUAGGAAAUUGGGUAAUCUGUGCAUGCCUCUGGAAUAAUUUUCCUCCAGUACCCAUCCUGAUAUAAAUCUACAUAUCAGUUUCAGGUCUUUUUAACUUCGCUCCCUGAAGUGAUCUCCCAUCCCAAUAUAUAGAAGUAUCAAUUUUAAAUUCCCUCUAGGGUCAGUAAUAGGUUGCCCUUCUGAGGAAUGCAUAAUCAUCAACAUCCCUUGCUAAAUCAGCUGGAUAAGCAUUGCUGUACACACAAGAUUAAAGUAGUGCCUGCUCAAAAAAUCAUGACUUCAAUUACAACCGCAUCAACUACUUGCCAGCAGCAUUUUCCAAGAUGAGCAAAAAUUCACAACCCAAAUCGACAAAUCACUCAUUUAAUAACUGAAGUAUCCCUCGCAUCUGAAGAUACGGAUUCUCCAACAACUUUUCAUUGUUGCUCUGCAAAGGAGUAGCAAGAAAACACAGAAACGUCAGAUACUCAAACCUACAAACUGCUGCUUAUACAGAAAAAGAUUAUCUAUAAUUUAGCAAAAAAAAUAAAAAAAUUAUCUAGUAGCAGAACUAGUAAAUUAAAGCAGAUGACAGGUAAAAAAGGCACUUGUUUCUUUUUCUUUAGCCCUUGUUCCAGAAGUUACCACAAUAAAUUCUACUCAAAGCUCAAAAAACAAGAGCUUUACUAAAUAUUCAGUUAAAAACUUUUUCUUUUGCACAAUAGAUUUAGUAUACAUGACUAUAUACUAAAGUGCCCCACCAAGUUCUCGCUGUUACCAUAUAUCAUUCAUCCAGUGACUUGCAAAGUUGCAGAGGCAGCAUUAUCAAAAAUGCACACUAUAAGCCAUAUAUGCAAUUGUAAGAGAUCGAAGUACCAGAGUGUUCGAAUACUGUCAGAAGUUUAAACCAAAUUCAAACUAGAAAAAGGUCCCACCUGCUGAGCUCUAUAAACAAGGUUUGAAAGCAUCCGUUGGUAACUUUCUGGUUCUUCUGUCAUCAUUCUCUGCAAAAUAAAUCUCAUAUGUUAAUUCGUAUUAACCAGGAAAGAGAACAUGAAAACAAUGGAAGGCUGUAGAAAAUAAGAGAUAGUUUGCCUUUAGAAGGAAAGUUGAAGAGUAAUAUGCCACCCUAGAGUCUGUAUCAUCCAAGAGCUCCCUACCAAAUACAGCAAAAAAGAAGAAGUUAGAUCUUUAUACUACUUGAGAUCCUUUGUCUAAAGUACCCAACUGCGAAGAUACCUAAAGAAAUCGUCACCACCAACUUCUUGGAAAGCAGCAGGUUCAGCAGUGCAUUUGCCAACUAAAAGUAAGAGAAGUGUUGCUCUUAUAUCAGAUGUGGCACCAGGAAUGUUUCCUCUACCUUUACUACCAACAGAAACACCUAAUGCGAUGUUGUCUGUUGCUGCACUGGCAAGUUGGAUCAAAGGCCAGUAAAACAAAGCAGCAGGGACUCGUGCAACCAAUUGCAUGGGUACAACAGCUUGUCCUCGGAGUAGUAGGGCAGCCAUUGAUGCCGUCUCACUUGUUAAAGUAUCAUUCUUGCUACCAAAUUUGUUUUUUGUAUCCUCCAUGGGAUCCUCCCCAUAUAAAGUUCCUGGAUUAGCAUCAUCAUGCAGUGUAUCUCCACGUGACAUUGAACUUGAUGGGAGGACUUUCAGGCACAGUUGAGAAAAUAGAAUAUAGCACAUCUGUGGACAAAAGGCGGAAAAAUAAUAUAUAAUAAGACAGCUACUAACACUAACACCACCAAAAAGACAAUUUUCGUCCAAAUAUAGCACUACAAAGUUUUACCCGUACAUGUUUUGAAGAUUAUAAGUAACAUUACUAAUAAGAAGUAAAGUAGAGAAAGAAAUAUCACCCGUAAAUAAUUAAUAAUAAAAAUCUUGAGUUCUGUUGCAAUCAUACUCUUAGAAACUAAAAUAAUAUAAGAAAUUCUAAUUCCAACAAAAGUUACUAAUACAUUUUAUAAAGUAUUAUUCUCAAAAUUGCAUCUCAAAACCCACUAAUUACAUAUAUUUGUCCAAAAAAGUGGUAUAACCAUUAACAGUUGAUAAACACGGGAUCAAACAGUGAACCAUGUUCUGAUUUCUCAUUAAGAGGGGAAGUAGGAUGAAGUAGUGCAACAAAAUAAAUUAGAUAUAUCUUAUGUGGGGCUUUUUCACAAUAAAUUCAACUUAAAGUAUUUUACUUGUUCAUUUUAAAGUUAUAAAUUUUGUUCGGAUAAGAUGACAUGACAACAUUACCGUCGAUCAAGUUCAACAAAAUAAGUCUACUUUCUUUGAAAAUUUACCUUCAAAAUGUUUAGGCGGUCUGUCUCGUUUAUCUGAGCCACCAAGGACAAUGCAGUACUCAUCACAUCUAUUACUACACUUGCUUUCUCAAGACGACUCUUUUCCUGUAAUUGAUCAGACACAUCAUUGCCUAGAUGCUGGAUCUUUUUCUCAUCUAACAAAAAUUUGCAUCUUACAAGAAGCCUAUCGAGAACAAAUAGAAAGCCCCAUCUGAUGAGGUUAUUUUUUGACUUCAGGAGUCCACAUAAAAGCCAAAUUGAUAUGGGGACUUCCAGAUCCUCUGAAUAAUCAUUGACACCAGCAAGAGCGAUCUUUUGCUGCAAGUUCUUUACAUUUGACCAUAUUGCGUCCUUCUUAUCACUGAUUUCUGCCAUGAGCAAAUCACCUAACCAUAGAUACCCAUUUUGGCGAUACGGAACCCUUUCUGAAUGAAGGAGAGAAUGUAAAGUGGCCCAUGCAAGUUUCGCUUUCAUGCAAACAUCAUUUCUUAGAACCCCAUCCUCUAUACUUUCCAGAUAAGUAUGAGAUUUAGAGAUAUGUCUCAGGUGGGUAAACUCUGUGUCCAAAUUAGAAAGUGAACGAACAAGGGUAUCAAACUUCUCAAUAACCUUUUCUAGGAGCUGCGAAGAGAAGUUCAAAUAUAAAUAUAAGAAAACACAUUCAAGCAAACCAGGACAUAAACAAAUCAUCAGCAGGUAGUGCAUCUAUUCUGCUACCAAUCAAAGAUCUCAUAGAACCAAUAGCCCUAGAACCACAGGAUUAAUUAUAUAUAACUAAACAAAAGAAACUGCAAAAAAUUAAACUAUCCUACUAAAUUCAUGCAAUAUUGGCUAUGACAUCAGAUGUAAAAAUAAAUUUGUUCCCCUGUAUUUAUUACUAGAAAACAUAUAGUAUAUUUUUGUUAUCUUUUAAAAAUUACCAAAUUUCUCGAGUCUUGGGAAAUAAAUAAUGCAUUGCAAGAUUACCAUAUUCAGUCUAUCACAGUUGGCAUAUCUGGACAAGGCAGCAGCUACUGAUCUUCUCAAGAGGUCCCCAACGCCAUCCACCCCAAGCCUGACAGAAAUAUGUAAAGCUUCGGGUGCAUCUGCGAGAGUAAGCAAUGUUGCAAUAACUUGACUCUCGUCAUCACUGUACUCAGAAACUCCAGUAGCCAAGCAUGCCUCGUUUAUUUGAUGCAAAACAUAGUCGAGAAGAAUCAUGUACAGAUUUCUCCUGUCAUCCCUAAGAUUUGCAAGCACAAACUGCACAUAGAAGGCAACUCAAUGAAAUCUCAUACAAUUCUGCAAUGACCUAAACUUAAUGAAAGAAUCUCUUCCGACCAUUAUCUUCAACCUAGACCUUUCACCAAUCACUUAAAAAAAUUCUCAUACAAUUCUGCAAUGACCCUCUUUCUGGUUUCUUCACUUUCUCCAUCUCAUUUCAGUUUAAAGUAUUAUGCCUCUUAAAAGUCCAUCCCACUAAUUUAUUAACUCUAUAUAUAACAUAUCUGAGCUAUAUUAACACAUAAAUAUAUUCUAAACGCUAGUAACUGCAAACUCUAAACCAAGUCUAUUUGACCUUUAGAAGCCAGAAUGGUCAACUAUUUAUUAAUAGAGAUCAUAUUCUCGUAUCACAGGAACAAAAAAGAAAGACUAGUUCCAUACCUCUAUGUAGACAAAUUCGAUUCCUCCGAUCAGAUCUACCUGCUCGACAAGUAUUCUAGGACUAGCCAAAGUUGAAGUCGUAGGUCCAUCAGGAACUUCGUAAAGCAUGUUUGUUAACAUGCAUAUAAGCUUGCAAUGGACAAUUUCUGCCCAGGAGUUCCUUCUGCUAACUUGUAUAAGAACCUUAAUUACCUGCAAAUAGACAGUUCGAAUAUUGAUUAACUAUAUUUUUCAAGUAUAAUAGUUACAGCUUGUCUGUUUUGUAACUCAUCAUUAAACAGGAAUGAGUGCUAAAUGAACAAUCAUAACCAUACAACAUGUAAUUGGAAAAAAAAAAAAUACACGGUGCACAAAAUUAUCCUACAUACUUCAUUACAUCAAAACCUGUAAGUUUGCAAUGUCUUAAUAGCAGAAAUAUGAUCACAAUUUAGUUUAUUAAUCUAACUGACCAGAGGUGCUUUAAACCUAUAAAGUCAAGUGUUCAAAGACACUUCCACGGGAAAAUGAAAUGGAAAGGAUGAAUCAAAAUAGUUCUCCAACUGAAGCUAUUAAUUAGUCUCUCUCUUUCCAAUCAAUAUAAUUUCCAUGAUCCCAUUAUAUGUUGCCUGUAAAAAUCAAUAAAUAUGCCCACUUUAUCUCUUCUUUUUGUUUAACCUUAUAUUCUGAAGCUGAUGCUGCUUACUACAAGACUUUUAUUAUCAGAGUCGCAAAGUUAAUAGCAAGUGAACACAACAUAUCUUCAUUAUAGUUAUCCACCACUAGCAAAAAAUUUCUUAGAAGAUAUUUGUAAAGUAAAGUCUGGAUCACCAACAUAAUUAUGUUACCACACUAGUUAAAAGGGAUAUGGCUGCAUUGAAGGAUAAAACAAUGAAAAUACUGACUUACUCUUGCGUCAAGACCCUCUAAUCUGCUCCUGCGGAUUUUUCCCCUAUGACAGACAAAAUAGAGUAAGCAGCUCAGAGCAGAAGCCCAAAUAGAUUCUUCCUUCUCUUCUAUCUGAGGUAAGUAGGUAAAAAUCCCUUAGAUGAUAAAAUAUGUAAGUGCCUAUUAGGACAACAUGAUAAGAGAUGACCAACUUAAUGCAGCACCUGUGAUGAAAAUUUAAGAAUAUAACAUAUAUAAUGCAGCACAUCUGUGAUGAAAAUUUAAGAAUAUAACAUAUAUUUGAAAAGAUGACAAGCCCAUUCCAUGACUUUGUAACCCCCCCCCCCCCCCCCCCCACCCACNNNNNNNNNNNNNNNNNNNNNNNNNNNNNNNNNNNNNNNNNNNNNNNNNNNNNNNNNNNNNNNNNNNNNNNNNNNNNNNNNNNNNNNNNNNNNNNNNNNNNNNNNNNNNNNNNNNNNNNNNNNNNNNNNNNNNNNNNNNNNNNNNNNNNNNNNNNNNNNNNNNNNNNNNNNNNNNNNNNNNNNNNNNNNNNNNNNNNNNNNNNNNNNNNNNNNNNNNNNNNNNNNNNNNNNNNNNNNNNNNNNNNNNNNNNNNNNNNNNNNNNNNNNNNNNNNNNNNNNNNNNNNNNNNNNNNNNNNNNNNNNNNNNNNNNNNNNNNNNNNNNNNNNNNNNNNNNNNNNNNNNNNNNNNNNNNNNNNNNNNNNNNNNNNNNNNNNNNNNNNNNNNNNNNNNNNNNCCCCCCAAAGUUCUACACUCUGCCGGAAAAAAGUACCUUGAUGCAGUUCACACAACAUAUAGCCUCCUUUUCAGCUAAUUUAUGUAAUAAAUAAAACAGACAUGGACACAAGUGGUGCAUUCAGUUUACAUAUUCCAGAACAGAAGUAAAUACUUCACUAUUAUGUCACAUAAAUAUGCUCAAAUGUUAUUUUACAAUAAAUGCUUUAAGCGGACAAAAUUGCAUGUCAUCAUCAAGCAGUCUUCAAGAAAUGCUUACAAAUGUAUAACCAACCGGGCCCAUACAAUUAAAUAAUUCAUAAUAAACUUCAAUGUUAUCUAUUGGCCCUAUUUGGCAGUUAGAGGUUGGGGCUAUAUUAGAGGUUUGACCAUGUUAAUCCGCUAAUAUUAGUGUUUGGUAGUUAAUGAAUUGAAAUAGUGGUUUGAACACAAAAAGCUACUUGGAGGAGCUUUUUGGAUUAGAGGAUUGACAUGUGUCUAGUUAAAGUACAAAAAAAAAAAAAUCAAACAGCUAUUUACCAAACAAUUUCACACGAAACAGUUAAUUCAAUCUGCUAGUCAAGACAACUACUUUAAUCAACUAGUCAAAACAUCUACUUCAAUCCACUAACAGUUAACCUCUAAUUUUCAAACAGGACCAUUGUAUUCUCGCCUUGCAUAUGUUCAGGAGAAUAUCAUCUUUUUUUAUGAUUUGGAUUAUAAGGGGAAAAAAUGGCGUAAUCUAGACUACCUGAACAAGAUGUAGUAGAACCUCGUACAAUAUACCCAAAAUCCAAGACUCAAACUUAUCGAUAGCUGAGGAGUUCGCUGUCUUGUAAUAGUCUGGCUUUACUGUUCCUUGAUUUGCAAGUUGUGUUUCGCUAUCGAGAUAUGGUUCAUGGGAAUAUUCUUCUUCAAUAGUGGAAGCAUCAUCUGCUACCAAAGGCUCCAACAACUGAGCGUGCACUCCAAGAUUUAAAAUCAAAUCAAAAGCACGAGAUUUUGAGUCUAGAAGAGGAGAAUUAAGCAUUUCCUGAAGAUAAAAUUCAUAGCAUUAACACAAUUAUAUAACUAUUAAUUAUAUAUAUUAGAUAUAUAAACAGUAAUAUCCAACUGAUCAUUUAUAAUAACAAUACGAAAUUGAGAAAGUUUCACGACCUCUAGCAUUGACAGAGUCAGAGGAGCCGCUGUUGCAGAAUCCAUAACGUACCUACAGAACCAUGUUGUUCCACAUUAAUUACAGGGGAAGGAAAAAAAAAAGAGAAAAGAACAGUCAUGCCAUAUAACUUUAAAAUUCAGUAUAUUAAUCUGACUGAACCUGUAGUCUACUGCGACAAUUAGGACAACAAUUGUCAUAUUUGACAGGUUUUUUAAUGUAUUCAAACAUCUACAGCAAGGAAAUGAGUGGGGUAACCUUUCCAUAUAUACUAUAUGGAAUUUGUUGGUACCUUAUCAUCAUGACCUUUUUCCCAAAAAAAAAGCUUAAAAACAGCUGUAGCCACAAACAUAGGCACCCAUGAGAACAUAAAAGGACUUUAAGGAUAGCAAGAAAGAUGUUAAGAUUACAUUAAAGGAUGAUUGAUAUUAUUUUCGACUAAAGAGACCGAGACAACUCAAAACUUCGAAUAAUCAUUUAUAGGAAGCCUAAAAGUGUCACACGAGGAAGCUUAUAGGCCAACUAUUUAACCUAAAGAUAAGCGAUGUUGCAUCUUUCCAGCAACCUAUAUUUUUACUGUUAAAAUUUGUAUAUGCCAUGGUACAACAGAGAAAGAAGAGGAGGCAUUCGGCAUGCUAUCUAGUGUCUAGACAAAAUUGUUAGGGCGACGGUCAAUUCACUCGAAAACCAGAAUAUUGGUACAAGAUAGUGUAGGAACACAAAAGAACAUAGUUAACAGAAAAAAUGAACGAAGCAAUACAAGCAAACAAAUUAUGUAAGACAUACAUGUCAAUAACAAGUUUUAUAAGGACGCUCACGGCAACAUCCAUCGAUGGCUUUCCACUGCUGCUACUUAAUUUAGACGUCAUGGUCAUCAGGUUAGCGGUCGGAGAAGGUGUUGCUGAGCAUACAGCAGCAAUGACCUCACACACCUCCACAGAAUUUAACUUUAAUGGUUGCUGUUCACUGAAAUAUAUAUACAAAAAGAACAUAUAUAUAUUAGUAGAUAUAGUCAGAUGUAGUAUGGAGUUAUACCAUGGCAACAUGGUGACUUUCCUGAAAAUGUUUCUUUUAUAUAAAGCUGCCCAACUCUUUUUGCCCGGAACAUACUAUUAUUAGGCAUCCACACGACAGUAAAAUUGAUAAUGCAAACACUUGCAUAACUCCUCAUCUAUGACACAGAAAAUAGCAUAAAUUUAGGAAUAACUUAUUUACAGUUUAAUAUAUACCUGUAAUGGCGGUAUUGAAAUAGUGGUCGAGGACGUGGGCGGUAAGUGCUCACAUGUGAAUCUUCCCUGCAAACAAGUAACAUGAUUCUCAAAUUGUUUAUAAUAGUUAAUAGGGUCAAAGAGGUACUGGGAAAGUGCCUGUGGAGCUGAAGGGAGAGAAUCUAUAGUUUAGAAUUUGGAACUAAGCUUAGGAACUUUGAAGCUUAGAAAUAAAUUGUUAUGCUUUGGAUUUUUUUUCCGAGUUCAUACCCUAAGCAUGCAAGUUUCUAAUCAAAUCUUCUAAUUUCUGAAAUCAUAUGUUGUACAAAAAUUACUGGAUCCAGCUAGUGUGUAAGUUUUCUUGCCGGGAAAUGUAAAUCAGUAUUACAUUUUCGGGUUAUGUGUAAAAGCGAUUUAAAGUAGAUUGUUGAGGAGCCUUUGAAUGAAGCAAAUUAAUUUUUGUCCUUAUGCGACAUCCUUAUUUGGAUAGAGAUCAUUGAGAGUUGUAUCUUUAAUCCAAGUUUUGGUAUCUUCAAUGAUGGACAAAACCUUUAUCACGCUUCCAGCUGUGGCAGUAUAUUUGAGUUUGAUUUUUUAAUAAAUUAAUUGAUAAUGGACAAAGUCACACAGUUCCAUAAUACCCUACUUCAGCAUUAGUACUCGGUGGUAAUGCCAGUAUUAAUGCUGAAGUAGGGUAUUUUAGAUUCGCACAUUUAAUGACAAUACGUCACCAGUUAAGGAUAUUAUUGCCUUGCUAGUUUUGUUUUCAAAAUUUUGUUAUUACUGUGUCUAGAGAUGCAAUAUUUCAUCCUUAGUGAUUUAUAGAUCGUAAUUUAUAAGGAUUUAAGCCCAUACUUAACCUUAAUAAUUGUAAAAGCCCAAACAUGAAACAGAGGAAACAUGCUACCAGUACAAAACCAAGAACUCGAAAUGUUAUGUUCAAAAUAUAGAGGCGACGACCACUAUUUGCUAAAGGUUGUACAGUCUAAUUUCUUUCGAAUUCAUGAUCAUAUCCUACUACAAAAAAAAAGUGCAAUAGGACAAUGUUCUUACUAUAGAAAAUUGCAAUGAUCAAUAAUUGUUUCCCCCAUUAGGUUACAUAUGGGGAUGAAAGUUUAUGAGUUGCCCAACCUCCCAGUACUUGCUUCUUAACAGUUACAAAAUUAAACGUAUUUUUCGUAAUUCUUAGCUAAAAUGGUUUUAAAGCUUAUGAAAUAGCAAAUUCUUAGCUAAAAGGUUUUGGUUUAAAGCCAUUAGAGGUCUUAUAAAAACCCAUGUAAUGUGGAAGGCUUUGAGAAAUUUUGUAGAAUAUGAGAGAAGUGCUCUCACAAGCAUUUCUUUACCUCCAACCCCACUCCUUGAUUCUUCUUUCUGUAUUUUGUUACUAUUAUCUUUCUAGUUCUCUCUCAUAACACGCUAUAUAUGCUUUAAUCUCUAAUUAUAGGCAACUUUAAGAUUCAAACAUAUGUAACUCUAAGUUCCAACAUCAACAUGAACCAAAUUUUCACUUAGCCCGAACAUAUUCUUGACUGAAAAUACAUGUCAAUAUCCCCAUAUUAGCGUCUUUUAAGGUGGUUAUUUGUCAGUUGUACUACUGAAAGAAUAUAAAAAAUAGGACAGAUAGGAAAGUAAUAUAUUUAACAAUGACAUUAUUAAGUAGUAAUUUUCAAAGCAGCAGGUUUGAGUAGAAAGGACAUGCCAUAUUUGUAGAGAGCCUGUCUUAGAGCGUUUAGAUGCUGUUAUUGCUCUCAUAUGGGCACGGGCAGAGGCGGAGUUCGUUACAGUUGUAAGCAAUGAAGUCUGGAGCAAUUUAUCAAAGUAGGGCAUAUCAACUGCCCCAAAACUUCUCCAAAGUUCACCCUUCAUUUUGGCUUCCAUGUCUCCAACAAGGAGUGCAGCCGCACCAACUUCAAGAAAACUGUGUUUGCUUACCUCUUGGCAAUUCAUAAUAUGUUCACUGCACAAAUAAGUUAGCCAACACAUUAUAUAACAUAAACCUGAAAUAAAUGACAAUGAACAAAUUAUGCUGUAGAACAUAAUUAGUCCAAGCAAAUUAUUAACACUACAGUGACAUUUAUUAUCUACCUAUCAGGAGAAAGCAGUGAUAAUCGCUGAUGUCCUUGCCAACGCCAUUUGAAAAUAUCAAAGGCUAUGAACUCGAGACCUUCUAUACCGUCAACUGUCUCGAUAAUCGGUGAGUUUGAAACAGAAGCAGCUGAUCCUUCUUUGAGAUCUGAAGAGUCUUUAGCACCAGCAGGGUUCAGGUGGGAAUUGAAAGACUUGCUCAACAGAGAUGACAACGACGGGAGUAAUUGCCUUGAUGUUGCAGGAACACCAGUAAGAGCAGCAGGUUCAAAUGAUCGUUUUGGGACAUGUUGAGCCACUAGAGAACGAACAUAAUUUAGAGAUUUAACAAGUGCUCCUGAUGCAAAACUUGACACGGGCAACGGAGAUAUAUUUGAAGAUGUUGCUGAAGCUCCAGAUUUACUUGAAGAUCUCGACCAUGUUGACAACUUCCUAGUGGGGCUAAUAUUACACUCGCCAAUUAUGCUCACACAAAACCGGUCUAUCUGUAGUAAUGUCUCCUCACUUGGCUUAUAUCUGUAAUAAUUGCCAGCAUAAUUAACUUUCUUUUUUCAUGUUUAUAUGCAAGGCUGGCUAUUAACCUGUGCAGUCAGCCAAACUGCACAGGGCCCCCAGUCUAGGCCCAGGUAUACAUGUUAAAUUUAUUGGACAGAAUAAACCCAACUCUAGAAAAAAGAAGAAGACACAUAAAUAAAACAUAAGAGUGUUUGGUGAUUACUAAUUUUUUAUAUGAUAAAAUAUGUAAAUUAUUGUUAAGUUAUGAUCAAAGUAAUAAAAAUCAAAAUUUUUUGUUAAGGAUGUACUGAGAUGCGGUGUGAAUUUUUCUUCAAUAAAAGGGUCCAACAUUAAAGUUUAGCACAAGGCCUCUUUUAUGAUUGAGCAGGGCCAGUUUACAUGCAUAUCUUUGUUUAUAUCACUGUCCCUGCCAAGAUAACUCUAGAACACUAGUUUUUAUAUAGGUGCUAAGCCCCUGACUGUCUAAAUACUACUUAGGAGUGAAGCUAGUAAAAGGUGGAGAGAGAACAAUGUUGUGGUAGUAUAAUGUAUAGUACCAAAUGUUCCGUGUGAAUCUCAAAAUGGAAAUUUACUUAUUAGUAAUCAACCUUUAAAAACUAGCAUAUGGCAAAUUCACUACCUAGUCUCUCACAAUGGAAAACAUAUCAAUGAUUAAAUUAUGUAACUAUAUUUUCUUCAAGUGCUAUAAUUCCAAAUAACACUUUAAUGCAUAAUUGUACAUGUUCUGCACAUGACACUACUUUCUUUAAAAAAAUCAUUAUAUAACAGUAGAAGAAUAAGAAAACCAAAUAAAAUGUGCAAAAAUUAUACAGAUGAUAAUAAGCAGAGAUUAGAAAAAGAAAGGGAGGAAUGAGAACUAAGACAGGUCACGAUAGUGAGAAGCUAUGGGCCGGUUUAAUUAGAGAGAAAUUGUUCUAGUUUUUUAUCUCUCAUUUUUCUAAAUUUUCUACAUAAAAAUCUUCUUUACAAAACUUCUAAAAUACGGGAAAACAUGUUCCAAAUUCUUUGAAGUCUCCUGCCAAGAGAAGUAAACAUACAUAUUUCUUUGAAGUCUCCUGCCUGGUUCGGUAGUAGGUAAAUUAAAUAAUAACCCAUUUAAGAACAUCAUGCAUGCAUCUAUAUGAUUUAGUCUAACAAUUCGAAUGUGGACAACGAGAGGUACAAAAAAAUGUUGCAUUUUGUACGACGAUGAAAAUGCUAGUGAAAAAUAAAUUAUUUUUUAUUUUUUUGUGAACAAAAAAUCUAAGUUAAUAUAUAUAAAAGGAAGGUGCUUUUGGAUUUUAAAAGUAACAAAGUUAUGAAUGGGCUGCGAGACAGAAAUGUAUUCUUAAAAGAAUAAUAUUCAUAAAACAUCUAAAAUUCCUGAAAGGGUAUAAAUGGGUUUAACCUAAAAUAUAACCUCUACUUGUAAUACUCACAUUGCUUUUCAGUUUUUAAACUAUAGUAUAAAGCUAUACGGAAAACACUUAAAUAUAAUCUAAAUCAGAUUACUAAAACUUUCUAAAUUAUAGCUAAAAUUAAGAAACAAUGUUUUGCCAUAUUAUACAGUUUAAAUAUGAAAAACUGAACUAUUGAACAUGUUUCCAAUUUAUUUUUAUUUUCUAAAUUUUCAUCUAAGAACUGGGGAAAUAAACAGGCCCUAUGUCGUUCACUAAAGUCGCUCAGGGAGUUGUUAGUCACAAAGUUCAAAAAACGGACCAGGGUUUAUCAUCAUAACCCAGAUUAAAUUGGUUGGAUCCAAAUAUAUUUGAGUCUGGUCAAAUAGAUCUGGAGGGUUAACCCAGGCAUCAAGGACUCUACGAAAUUUUUUAAUGCCAGGACGCCAUGUUCUAAGCCAUAAUAACACUAAAGCUAAUAAUUGUUUUAAGAAAUGUGAAGAUAUUAAAGAUCCAAAUUUGCCUUGCAGAUUCAAAAUCCAGGGAGUAAAUGUUCAUAUAUACAUACAAACAUGCACAGUUAACAUUAAAUAAAUUUCAAUAAUAAUAAAUACAAACUACGUAAACAAGAUGAAUUUCAAUGAUAAGCACAUUUAACAUUACAUAAAUGAAUUAAGCCUAUAAUUCUAGGAAUGCUUUUAAGCAAUGGAUAUACAUUUUAUCAAUGUAAACAAAAACAGAAAGAUAUAGGAUUAAUAUGUAGACUUACCGUAGAAGAUACCGUUUCAGGAGUGCCACGCACCUUGUUACUACAGCUGGGCUGAUGCACAGGAUGUACUAUUAGUGCAAGAGGAUAUAAACAGAUUCUAGUGCACAUAUAAUAACUAUAAAGUACAAUACCAGUAGGAAAUAGCUUAAAAAAGAUUUCUGCAUCAAAAGAUAACGCCUAGCUUGCAAAUGUAUUUUAGAUAUAGCAUUCCAUGAACCUUGCUCAAAAUUUGUCAGUAAUAAUUAUAGAUGUACGGCUAGAAAAGUAGUUUAUAUCUUCAGAUGAAUUUCUAUUCAGAGGAGAAUUUCAUAUAAAAUAAACAAAGAUGAAAUGUGGCAUACCCACUGCAUAAAAAGAAUGAUUAUCAUGCACAAACCACUAAGAAAAAAUAAUUGCAAGCUACCUUCUCUCCCUCUCUGCAAGUGUAUGUUCUAUGAUUACACUGUAAGCCAAGUCGGUGGUCGUUUGUGCAGCCAGAUAAUCCUGCCAAAAUAAAUUUAAAAAAUCUUACUAAAUAUAAAGCAAGCAUUAAACACCAGUGAGAAGCUUACAUCUACUUGACAUAUAAUCCGAAUACAUAAUCCUGGGAAAUUAAUGCCAAACCAAACAAUACACGUUUUUAUUAUGUUUUCCAUAUACAAACACAAGCAUGGAAUGCCAAUAACUACCUAGUUACAUCAUAUACCAUAAACAUCCAAAUAAUCUUCAAAUCACAACAAACAGAAAUCAUAUAAUAUGUAUAACUAUCCAGUACAAAGCAUCUGCAGUAGUACAUGUUCAAAAUUGUCCUCUUCAAUGACCUAAUUACAAUUUACCAUUGUGUUUGUUCAAAAUUGUCUUCUUCAAUGUCCUAAUCACGUAAAACUACAUUAGAUGUACUAAGCUCACAUAUUCGUGCAAUUUCACAUUUCCAACCCUCUUUCAAUAAUCGCCACAUUUUCCACAAUAAUGUCAGAUACAUCAGUCAAUCAAAUUGUACAUCGACACAAAAAAAAAAAAAUCACAUGAUCAACUGGCUAACACACACACACAAAAUUUCACUAACAAAACAAAUUCCAAGCCCUAAGCUCCGAAAAAACCGGAUAAAAGGAGGCGAAAUCGAACCCUUAGAAUGCGAAACGCUUCGGAGGCAACGGCGGAGGGAUUGCCGGGAUGCGACAGCGACAGCGAAUCCGCGACGGCGCGGCGGAGCGGCUCCGGCGGUUUCUUGACCGACGACGAUCUCAAUCGCGACAUACUCCCGAGCUGUAACCUGGAGCUCCCGGGGCUCCGAUUGGGACUGUAACUCGUGGCCAUAAUGUAAGUAUAGUUGUGUGUGUAUGUGAUUGAAAUUUGAAAGCGAGAGAGAAGUGAGUGUGAUUGAGCAAUCGAGAUUAUUAUUGAGAUGUAGAAGAAGAGAUGUUUGAAUAAUUAAUUAUUAUUCCGACUUGCACAAAAUGUGAUAAUCUACGUAACGGUUGUGUAUGUAUACUGCUUGUACAGCUGUAGAAGAAGUGGUCUGCUUUAUAGCUGGCAUCUGACGUGGACUUGUCGUUGUGAUGGCCGUAGGGGUGUUUUCGUCCAACUAAAAUACUGUGAUGUUUUUAUUUUUAAAUUAUUAAUGCAUUUAAUUGGAAAAUAGUAGGAAAGAAAGCACAAAUUUAGAAAUAUAUUAAAAUUUUAUUUUGGAUUAAAAGGACAUAUUUCAAUGUUUCAUCGAGGGGGGAGUAUCAAGUAUGGUUGUCCUUGUGACAAAAAAAAAAGUAUGGUUAUCCCAUGCUUACAAAUUAAUAUAUUGUUUUUUAUUUGUUUUUAGGGACGAUUUGCUAGAAUUGAUUUUCACCGUAACAAAAUCAAAAUUUAAGAAACAAAAACUUAUGUGGAAUUGGUUUUCAUGUGAAUCAAAAAAAUUUCGAUAAAAACUUAUAUUAAAUUGUAAGAACAUGUAAAAAUGGCACAAUAUGUUUCAUUCAUGAGAGAUUUUAUAUUAUUAGCCUUACACGUGCGGAAGUACGAGCACUACUAGUAUUGAAGGGAGAUCUCCCAUGGUAAAAGCCCUUAGUUAAAAUUAUCUAGAUGACACUUAUUUGGCAUCUACGUGUCACUUUUAAGGAUUAUGUAAAAAAUUUGGAAUUUCAACCCUCUCUUCCUUUAGCAAAAAAUAUAGUCAACUAUUUUUAGUUGGCUAUAUUCGUCGAUCAAGAAAGCCUUCAGAUAUAGUUUUACAUAAGCAUGAAUAUAAAUAACCUCAUUGGAAUAAUUACUAGACCCUUUAACAAAAAAUUUACAUAUUUAAUAUAACCAAUGAAAAUAGCCAUCCCAUCUUCCUAGUUAUUCUUUCUAUCUCUGAUUUUGAAGUCUGUUUUCCUGUACCUUCCACUAGUAACGGAAAAUAUUUGGUUGCCUUUAAUUGCGUUGUCACAAAGCAGGAACUAUGGAGGGCCAUCAUCAAACUAUUAUAAUGGUCAUCUUCUCAAUUUAAAAUUCUCUUCUUGAAACAUAAACUAAAAAAACUAGAACAGAGAUUUCCAGGAUCUCUUGACAUGUAUCUGAGUAGAAAAAUAUGGCAGAAAGAGAUUCCAGCAAUCUCUUGAAAACAAUCCUAUAAAAGUUUUCCACAGUCUGGAUCUUUUUUAGAAUCAGUCUCAACCUGUUGACUAUAGUAACUGCUGUCUGAACUCAUCAAUAAUACCUACGAGACCCGCGAUCAAACAAUCUUCUGGAAGGGCAUUCAUAUUCUAUGUGACCCAUUCCACCACAAUUAUGGCAGAUCAUUAUGGACACACAGUCACGGGAUAUGUGACCAGGAUGUCCGCAAGUAUGGCAGAUAAUGUCACGGAAAGGCCCUCCAAACAUUUCUGGUUCUGGCAAACUCCCCUUGGGACAUUGGCGAGCCACAUGACCCGAUAUGUAGCAUAAGUUGCAUACAGGUUCAUUGCUACAAUCACGGGCAAGGUGACCAGUUUUGCGGCAGUUGUUGCAAGCUUUCUCAUUGGUACAGUGAGCAGCAAUGUGGCCUGCCUUGUAGCAGUUAUUACAAAGCCUUGAAUCAUAAGUUGGCAAGCUUGGGUGAAAGCAAUCACGGGCUAGGUGACCCAUCUUGCCACACAUAUGACAAACUGGAUCAUUGGGGCAUUCACUCGCCAGGUGUCCUGGUUCUUUACAAUUCCAACACAUUGUUGUGGAAGUGCACUCAGCAGCAAUGUGACUGAGAUGAAGAAAAGAGAAAAGAAUAAAUAUUUGAAGAAAGAAAAGUAAUACACAUUCUAUAAUUAACACCAUCAAAUUAGUAUCACACUGAUGUUUCCAGUCUUCUAUUCCUUUCCUAAAUUAGCAGUGGAAACCUCAUUAUGGUUUCCACCGCAAUUAUUCCCACAAAAGCUAUGGACUGUGACAACAGCAUGCUUAUACCCAUUCAUGGUGGAUAACACUUCAAUUUAUUAUGCAGCUACAGAGAAUACAGAAACCUAAUUUACUGAAAAGCAUGGAUUACAGUUCCAGAAGGGAGAAGAUAUGUAUACCCGGGAAAUCCACAAUUGUUGCAAACAGUCACAUUUGGACAAUCUCGAGCGAAAUGACCUGGCCGCUUACACUUGUUGCACAAAUAAUCUUGCCUAGAAGAUAAAAGCAUCUCUUGUAAGCCAAAACAAUUUAAUUUCUUUUAAAAGGCAAAUCUCAUGUACUUGGGGAGAAGUUUGUAAAUCACAUAUUUAGAUCAUCAAAUGAUGCAUUUUGCCCUUCAUUCAAAUCCAACACAUAUUCAUCAUUUGGAGGACAUAAAGAGUGUGCCGAAUUAGCAUAGGUUUACACCUUAUUUAAUAGAAUAACAAAUGCAUCUACUUCACACCAUCCUAAAAAAUCCUGCUGCCACACUAGAAGAACUAUAAGUAUCAUCAGACUAAGGGUCUCAUUGAAGAACAACAUAUAGUUUUCCUCCAAGUACAACAAAAGAGUCUUCCCAUUUUAAAACAUAUAAUUUACAAUAGUUAAAGUUCUACCAUAGGCAACAAAUUACAAUAUAAUAAGUAAUUAAGAAUGAUGUACAUAUGUAAAGCUAAACAAAACGGUGAGUAUUAGAGAAAAAAUACGAUGAAAUUGACUUUUACAAGUUGCUAGCUACAAAUGCCUAAACUGUCUUAUUCAUGGAAGGCGGAACACAAAUGCUUAGUAGAAGGAUAACAAGUAAUCUAAGCAAGCGCCGGGAAUGAGAUGCAAGACAAGUGUCAGGAUUAGCCAGGUAUCUCUAGUACAAGAGACAACUUUAUAACUGGUAAGAAACCGAUACUAAUGCAUGAGAAGUCUGCUAAGAAGUCUACUAGAAGUUGCAGGUAGCGAUCGAAAAGUUGGCUAAGAACUAUAUAUACUAGUUCAACUGUAACUUUUAUUGUGUUGCUUUCAGAUAGGAUAUAUGAGAAGGUUUUUCAGGUUAACUACCACCAAAACUAAUCUCUCUAGUUUCUAUCUGCAAAUUCAACUAGGCUUUUCUUCGUUUAUAGGCUCUGUUCUUUAUCAACUUCUCCACAUCUUCCUCAUACGAAUUCUCAACUCAAAUGCAUGCCAUGACAGAAACAGAAUUGCUAAAGCGAAGAAAUAGAAGAAUAACAAAAGAUUAAUAUUAUGAUACCUUCUUUGGUCCCUCCUGUACGGUGCAUCACGAUAGUGCUCUCGAUCACGGCUACGGAACCUCCUGGACCGUGGUGAACUUCUCCUGACCGGGCUCAUACUGAAUUGUUAAAUUGCUACAAUUCUUCUAAGCUAUAUGAAGUAAAAAAUCUUAUCCAAUACCAUCAGCACCAAAAUGUGCCUACAUCAAUAUAAAAUAGAAACUGUCGGAAACCAAGGUCAGCGAAUCAUCUCUAGCUAAAAAUUACCAAAAAUUUUAAACAACCUAAAAGCACGUAAUCUCAAUUCAUAACAACGACUCACAGAAAAUAAUCAAGGAAACCUUACUUUACUGCACAACAUAACUACAUAAGUAUCACUAAUUUCCUAAUAUAAUCAGCCAAAGAAAAAACCGCAAGUAUCAGUACAGAACACCACAUAUUUCCAUACGAAGAUAAUAAUUUAGACUUAAUCGAUCGCUGAAACUAUAAAUUCAGUCUAAUCACUGUUCUCAUUUAGUAUAUUGCCCACUGUUUCCAAAUCAGUCCAACAGAUUAUUGACUACUUCCCUUUCUGCCGAUACGCGUUGUUCAAAUACAUAUCCAAUGUAAUAAACCGAGUACUCGUCCCUAAUUACGAAAUUCUGGUCCGAACUUAACAAAAACACCCUACAUUUGUCAUAAUAAUACCUUCCACACAAACCUCGAAAAAACGAAUAAAACAAUCAAUCACACAGUAGAAUUCGAAAACAAUUGAUCGAAGAUCAAAAUAACAGCCUCCAUAAAUCAUUAUAUUUCACUUACAUUCAAACAAUUACAGCACUAACAAUGUAAUUAAUUGAGCUUCAGUAAACAAUAACACAUAAAUCUCUCACAGACACAGCGUUAUGAUGAUUAAAUGAAGCAUUUGAAGAAAUAAUACGAGUGGCGCAUCAGGUAUAAACGGAGAUAAAACAUACCUGAUGAAACGAAACCCUAGAUCAAAGCAGUUGUAAUCUGUGUGUUUAUAACAAACUCGGGCUUUUUAAGCUUGUUACGCUGUCGUAUCAAUUAUGCAUGCGUGUUCUUUCUUGCCCUCUAUUAUUCUCUCAUUUCAUUUAUUUUGUUAGUUCAUUUUUUUAAAAAUUGUUUUAAUUUUAUUUGGCGAACUUAUAUUUCAUUUAUCUGCGGGCGAACAAGAUAUUUUAGAUAGUUACUACUUUAAUUACCAAUUAUUUUAAUAAAUUGAUUUCCUCUUCAAAUAUUCAAGUAAAAAUUAAUCUUAGUUAUAUAUUUUCCUCAAAUUCAAAAGUACGUGAUAAACGAUAACAAUGAUAUUGCAUAUAAAUUGUUAAUUGAAUUUAAUAUUAAACAUUUUAUAAAAUUUGUUAAUUCGUAAGAUAUUUUGUUUUAAUAACACUAGCUAAUAUUUUAAAAAUAAGAAAUCAUUCUUUUUCUCCUGUUUCAAAAGAAGCUAGGUGAGAGCAUCUCCAAUAAACUCUUAAAAUCACUCUUAGAUAUAGACCAUGUUUAGAAGUUAGAGCUUUGGGGUAAAAUUAGAGGUUUGGGGUGAGUUAGAGGUUUGACCACUAGAAUCCGGUAAUACAAGUGUUUGGUAGUCAGCGGAUUGAAAUAGAGGUUUGGACCCAAAAAGCUAAUUUUGAAAAAGCUACUUUGAGGAGUUUUUUCGGUUAGAGGUUUUGGUUUGUGUCAGAAAAAGCUAAUCAAUCAGCUAUUAACCAAACAGUUUUACGAGAAACAGCUAAUUAAAUCCGCUAGUCAAAAAAUCUAUUUCAAUCCGCUAGUCAAAACAUCUAAUUCAAUCCGCUAACAGCUAAUCCCCAAACAAGGUCAUAAUAUAAGUUAUUAGCUCUUAUCAAUUUAGUGUACAUUUACUCCAACAAUACUCCUUACAUUCACUCUUCAUUUAUUUUUAUAUUAUUAAAAGUAAAUUGAACUCAUAAAAAGACAAACGAAAGUAGAAAGAAAUAGAGGAUGUGGAACAAAAAUUAUAAUAAAAUACUUAGUAGUUAAGAGCUAUGUAGUGGCUGCUAUAAGUGAGGAGAGAGAAGAAAGUCUUAAGCUUUUAAAGAACUUUUAAGAGUUUUUUGGAGUUCAAAAUUUAGCAUGGCUUAUUUUUUAACUUAAAAGCUCAAAUAAAGAUUCUAUCGGAGAUGGCUGAGAUCAUAUUGAUAUUCGUCUUUGCAGCAAUAACUGUAAUACUAGGUUUGCUUCAAGGAAAAAUGGUUCGACAGAAUAGGUAACAUGCGCAAGACUCUCACUUCCAUUCUGUACCUCCUUCCAUUACCUUCAAAACAGUAAUGCGAUUUUCAAUGAAUUUUCACGGCUUUCCGAUCGUUUCUUAAACUAUUGAAAGUUGAGUUUUGUUUCUCUGUCAGCAAAUUUAACAAAUCAAUGGACAGGAAUAAUUUGGAUUUAACUUCACACAUAUUGCAAAUGCCACCAAGAACUUCUCCUGCAACAAUAGAAUCGGAAAAGGCGGCUUCGGAACUACUUCGACACCAGUAGUCCCACGGAUAAGAAUUUCACUUGUGACUAAUCUUUGUUUCUGCUAAACAAACAAAUGUAUUUUCUUCUGUAGGGAGGUUGGAAGGACAGGAAAUAGCUGUGAAGAGGCUCUCGAAGGAUUUGAGACGAGGAGUAAAAGAAUUCACAAAUGAAGUUUCAUGCAUAGCUAAACUUCAACACAAAUCUAGUGAGGCUUCUUGGCUGCUGCAUUGAGAGAGGGGAGAGGCUUCUGAUCUAUUAAACAUGCCUAGCAAAAGCUAAGGUGUCUUUAUUUUCAGUAAAAUCCUAUCAAAAACUGUCAUGAGUUGUAAAUUUAGCAACGAAGUCAUUACUCCAACACAAAAGAAAACUGAAUCUAUAGCUUCGGUGUAUCAUUGCUGGAGAUCACAAGUGGGCAGAAAAACAAAUGAUGUUAUCAUCCAGAACACAAUCUCAACCUUACUGGACAUGUAACUAUGUAAGUGCACUCAGAUUCAGAUAGGCUUGCCUAAACAAAUGCAUCAACUAAUUUCUUAGGUAUGGAGAACCUUUAAUGAAGGUAAGCUCGGGGACUUUGCUGCUAGUCUGGUUAUUGUGCAUGCAGGAAUAUUUGGAAGAUAGGCCUAACAUGUCAUCGGUGUAUCAAAUGCUGACAAGUAAUAACGCAUUUCCCAGUCCUAAACAACCGGGAAUUUUCUUUACGAGAAGAACGAGCAAUAUGCCAAAAAGCAAACAAUCAAUUCAGAAAGUACUUUCUUAGAAUGGAAUAGUAUGAACGAGAUAUAGAUAAGGAAACAGACAUAAAGAACAACAAAAUCUGAAGAUAGCAGGAGAUAUAGGUCGCAAAACAGUCAAUUAUUGAUAUAGGCAAAUUCAGCAGCCAAACACUUGAGAGUUCAGCCUCUCAGACACAACAAACAGUCAUAGUUACACACAAACAUAGCAAGAGAACAGUUGGAGUUCGAAGUAACAUAGUAAAAGUUACACAGAUUGACUUAUGCGCACACUUCAAACAAAGAACAAAUUUGACAUUCCUUAGAGCAGCUGGUUCAUUUUAGAAAUAGCUCCAUGCCUCUAACGCAGAGUAGCGACCUACCAGAACAUGAAAGCCCUGGAAAACAAAGGGUAGGGAUUUACACAUCCGAGUGAGAAACAAACCACAUCCCUUCCAUCAAAUAAACUUACUAAUGAUAAGUAAGAUUAAAAAAACCCACAAAACCAAGCAAGUUGACAUCUUCACAUAAGUAGAAUUUCUAGAAAUUCAGUUCCUUGUAAAGAAACGCAAAACUACCUGCGUCAGAAAGGCAGGAACAACAGCAGUCGGAGACUCUUCAGAUCCCUGAAGAACCAGCUUGAUGUCCUGCAAAAGCCACCCAUUGCAUUUUUUGUUAAUUGUUCCAAUAUCUGCCCUUGUAACUCGACAAAGACAAACAUCAAGACAAGAAAACAAGAGGCCCACAGGCCACACCUUAACAUUAUGCAUCCUCCCGGAACCAAGUACUUCCAUUUCUAUACUACUACAUCUUUUUAACCUAAUAUGAUAUAUUUGUUAAUUAAUUGAUUGCUUUUACCUUGAGUGGACGGCACUGAAGAGUUUCCGUUGGAAGUACGAGCAGCUGCAGGCCAAGAUAGGUAAGAGUUGACUAUAGACUCAGAGUUUGAUACCUGCAACAAAUUGUUACGCAAAUUAAGAAGAUAUAAAAACUGUCAAUUGUACUUAUUGUACAUCUAGCAACAAGAGCGUUUACUGAAUUAACAAGAGUUGACUAUGUACUUAUUGUUCAUAUGUCGGCUGAUAUCAACCUGACUAACAAUGCGUCAAACAUUAGCAAUCAAAUGCCCUAUUAUAAACAUGACCUUAAGAAUAAAAUUCACAGAUUAUAAAUGAGUUUAUGAACCUGAAAAAGUUUGCAACCCUAGUUCCCAAUAACAGAUAGAAACCGACAAAACACAUAUGAUUAGCAGUUGGAGAAUUGUUCUACUAACCAAAAAUUACACUGUUGUUUCUUACACUCAUACUGCAACUUCAGUUACAACUUACAAUAGUAAACAUGUUUGCUGUUUCUUCAAAGCAUCUUUAGUGAGGAGUUUAACAAAUGUAUUUUAAAAGAAAAAGAACCUUUUGUCGCUUUUUUAUUAUCUUCAUAAUGAUGAUCAAAGGGAGAGACUUGAAUUAAAUCACCAAAAGCUAGCAUUUGAAUGCAAUAAAUUAUAGACAUGACUCAGAGAAGAAAAAGAAUGUAAAGAUCAAAAUCAUUCAAUGAACCUGACAAACUCUUGCAAUCCUUAGUUUACUGUAACAAAUAGAAACUGAAAAGCUUAUUAUAUAGCAUUUGACAAAUUCUAAAGUAGCCAAGAAUCACACUGUUUCAGCACAAAGUCAACAAAUUAACUGAUUUUGGAGAUUACAACGAGACAAGUGGUACCCAAAUAAAAUAGAAACAGAUGCAUCUGUAUGAUUAUUCUAAUUCUAAAAGCAAGCACCUGCAGUAGUUAGAAAUAAGACAUACAUUUUCCAGUAGUUUCAGAAUAUAUUCUUUCUCCUUGUGCAACUGCUGCACCUCGCAACGAAGAUAAUCAUGUUUCAACAGAAGUAGCCACUUCUCUGCAGAUAUCUUCACACUCUUAGAAUCAGAUCUUUGAACUUCCAAAGCAGGAAAAGAUUCAAGUGAAGCCUGUAUAGAAAAGUAAGCACAUGUUACCAGUAAAGUAUUAUAAACCUAACUGUAAGAAGAAGUACUUCUCUAAAUAUGCAUACAUAUUCCAGCAGCUUGUUAAGAUACUUCUUCUCUCUCAGCAACUCCUGCACCAUACCAUGAAGGGAAUGAUUUUCUAAAAGCAGCAGUCUCCCAAUUGCAGCCAUCUGCUCAUUCAGCAAAUUAAACUCACAGGCGAUUUUUUUCUUUUUCUCAACAAUCCUGUAAAAGGUAGAGGGGCAAAAAGAGCUAGAAUAAAUCAUUUACUCCUUCCGGUCCUGAAAACUAUGAAAAAGAUCGAGAUUCGAGAACAGAAAAAGGGGGAGAACAGUAAAUUUGGAAAUUAAUUAAUGACAAAUCAAAUUAAUUUAAGCAUGAAAAGUGACCAAGUAGAAACAGUCAUCCAACAGUUUGACCUUAUUAAAAAGAUUUACAUGAACUUCGCAAAUUAUAGUUGAUAAACAAACUCAUAAAUCAUACCAAGCAAUGAUAGUCAUUCCUGAACCAAAAAAACUUUACCUAAACAGACUGAAUAACAUAUACAAAGCAAGGAUGGUCAUUGUUGAAACAAAAACCCUUACCUGCGGGUUUCAAACCAGACAUGGAUCUGCUGCGAGUCAAGGUUAGAAAGAACAGCAUUCUCACGAAUCAUUGCAAUCCUCAUAUCAUGACUUGGUUUCUGACACUCCACAAACAAUUGCUCAAGAACCGACACCUGAUCAGCUGAGUACUGCAUAACCUUGUCCCAAAUUUCUUGAAUCUCGCCAUUGCAUGUGCUAUAGUUCCCAAAACCAUGAUCUCCCUGCAUCUCCAUUUUGAACCUUAAACUCAAAUUUACAGCUACGGAAUGGGUGGAUAUCUAGAGGUAAAGCUUAAAACUGAAGUAGUAAAUUAUAAACCAACUGCUGGUUUAUAUGAAACUGCCUGGUCCUUGUGGAUUUCGCUGCUGGUUUUAUUAAAGGGGAACGUGUAACGAUAAGAUCAAGAUUAAUUUAGUAAAAAGAUUGCUGAAACGGUUGGGAGUUGGGUAUGUUACAAUUUGUAACAGUCACAUUUUGUUGUUUUUUGUGGGAUUGCUAAGCAUCAGUAAAUUGAUUUUGUCUUUUGCUUGUGCCACCACUAAAAAUAACAAUACAAGGACACCUAUAUUCGACCCCAUCAUCUUCUUGCAGACAGCUGUCAAAACCAUGAACAAAGAGUAAACUAGACUAGAAACACUUCAAUUUCCAUACAACUUCUAUCAAAUUUUCUUUAACACAACCUUGGCAGCUAGAAAUAAAACCCAGGUUUAAUCAUGCUUCUAGUAAUUAAGAAGGAAAAAUGUAGAAACACACACAGUUUCCACCGCCUGUCCAGGGUUGAGCCCUGCGGACUUAAACACACAUAAUCAAAACAAAACCCCAAACACUAUUGUUGUGUUGUGUGUUUGUUGUUUGGUUGAAGUAAAUGAAAUGAAAUUUGUACUAUUAAAUGUGUAAACCUAGCCAAAUGGAGCAUACAUGAAGGAAUCAUUCAUGAUUGUCAGUCAUUAAUCCAUUCUAUUCUUAGCAAAUUAAACUAGAGUUCAAACCUACCAAUUGAAGAAGUGACCUUACUUCUACAUCCUAUUCUUUUCUCCACAGUUCUCUUCAUAAAUUUUGAACCCUUAAUUUUUUUCCACUCUUCCCAUCUACCUUUAUUUUCAUCCUUGAAUUUUGUCCAUGAUUUCAUUCCAUUCCAUUUCCCCCAACCAAACAAAGUAUAUAUUUUUUGCUUCACUGCAUACUGCAGUACAGCUAAAAGUGGUUGUAUUGUUUAGCAAAGGCAACUAAUAAGGAACAAGAUAAACUGAACAUAUAGUCGAGCCAAAUACUCCUUUAACUUAUUAUUAAUUGAAGGAGAUUUGGUCCGUAAUAUGAUCACCGCUGACAAAUUCAAAUAAUAAGUCCAUGCCUAUAGUUUUAAUAAUCCGAAGUUUAUCUAAAGUAUUUGCUUUUUUACUUCUUUGCAAUGUGAUUUCUUCAUACAAAAUAUAAAAACCUGUUAAGCGACCAUAUCAACUAAAACCUCAAGGUGCCAGGAAAAGGCCUUUUAUUAUGUUCUAAAAUUCCCGUCACCGUCAUUUUUGGGUUGAAGAGUGGAUCACAUUCGCCCAUCUUCCAAGCCAUAACUUUGUUUUCAUGUACAUGAUAAAUUAUGAGUUGUGAUACUAUUUUUAAGCGACAAGUUGACUUCAAACCCUAGGGAAAAACUUUUUUUACCUGGAUCAUCGUAUUCUAACAAAUCAAAUGAUAAUUAUAACAAAAUUGUGUGCAGGAAAAUCACCAGUAACAAUUACCAAUUUAUUCUUCGCGAAAGAGCAAUCUGUAAGGACUGCUUCAAGAAGCAUAAUUCUCAGAGCCUCAUAAUUUCUUGGAAAUCAAGAUCAUACCAGGCUGAUCGUUGUUAUGAAGCUACAAAGGAUGAGAGAGCAUACGAGGGAGAUGAUAGAGACAUUCAAGAUCGAGUACAGAUAUUGAUAAACACAGAUUCACAGCGACCGAAGAACACAGCAAUCAAUUGCGACACAAACAGAGAUCAAGAUCGAGGGAUCACAAACUCAAAUACACAAUUGAAACACAGAUCAAAAGCAAAACGAUCACGAAUCCACAAUCCAUUUUUUAACUGCUUGCAAAAUUAAGAUGAUCAGAAUUAAGAUAAUUGAUUAUUAUUUAAAUUCCAUUUUUUAAGUGCUUGCAAAAUUAGUCGUAAAAAACGGAAAUCAGACUUAACAAAGAUUAAUCUGAAGAUUAAUUGAAUUGAAUUGAUCAGGAAUUAAUCGGAUUAAUCGAAGAUUUAAUCAAUUUAGCAAGUUGCAGAACAAAAAUUUGAUUAAUUACUGAUUUUUAGAACAUAGAUUUUAACGAUAUAUUCUUGAUCAAUUAAAUCUUUGGUACCCUUCAACAUCCGUACUCUCAAAAUUUCCAGUUUCCUUUCUUCAGAAGAGGCGAAAAGAUAGGUUGUGGACUUGGAGAGAGUUUUUUACUUUGGAAUUUUUACAAAGGAUAACGGUCCACAGCAAUCGAUUGCUGUGGAGGAGUUAAUAACACUCAGUUUCUGGGCCGUUGGAUGCAUAUCCAGCGGCCAAGAUCAUAUUAAAAUUUUAAUAUGUCCAGCGUUUUUUUAGCGCUGGUCGGGGAUUAUCAUGUUCCGCUGUACAUGGGAAUCCCCGUCCAGCGCUAAAAAAGCGCUGGACAUAUUAAAAUUUUAAUAUGAUCCUGGCCGCUGGAUAUGCAUCCAACGGCUCAAAAACUGUGAGUUUUUUAACCAGUGCCUGGCAGUGGACAUAUUAAAAUUUUAAUAUGAUCCUGGCCGCUGGAUAUGCAUACAACGGCUCAAAAACUGUGAGUUUUUUAACCAGUACCUGGCAUACGACUGCCAGGCACCUGGACCCCUUUACAAAUAGAAACAAUAGGGGUUUUUGUUUCCAACUGCUAGGCACCUGGACCCUUUUACAAAUAGAAACAAUGGGGGUCUUUGUUUCCAAGAAGCAGCUUAGAAGCUGGUUAUGACUUCUGUUUUUCUUGUCUCGUUUGUGUAAAUAAGCAUAAGCACUUCUAAAAAGCUGAUAAUGCUAACUUAUAUGUAAGAGUUUCUACUUCUUUUCCAAACACUUUAUUAACUUAUUUUCUCUCCCCUCGUAUCCACCUUUUUAAUUUUUUUUGAGAGAGAGUCAUUUUUUUUAGUUUUACGGAACGGCCCAAAUACCUCAUGGCGUCACGUCACCAGUCUAAUUUAAAUUUUCUGGACUAAAUACUAAACAAAAGGCCCACUUACUUUACGUUUAUUGAACUGGGCUAGAAUCCGCGUCCAAAAUAUUAUAAACCCAAUUUUCAUUUACCAUAUGGAUAAAAUAUAGAAAUUCUAUUUCUACCAUUGACCUGUGGUGUGAUCAUCUUGCAAUUUCACUCUCCCGAACAAGAAGCCUUCGAGUGUUGAAAAGCACAAAAAGGUUCGUCUUUCAUCAUAUUUUCAUCCAGUUUUCAAUGUACUUAUUCGAUAGAAGAAGCCUUUAUUUGUAUAUAUACGAGUAUCUAUAUCUGUGCAAAUUUAUAUGAUUAUUUGGAUAAUUAUGAGAUUUUAAUUCAUAGUGAUUUCCAUUAACGAUCCAAAGCUUUAUAUGAUUAUUUGGAUAAUUAUAAGUUUUUAAUUCAUAGUGAUGUCCAUUAACGAUCCAAAUGACACCUAGAUUGCCUGAUCACAACUACAAUUUGUAAUGUAAUGCGGAAUUUAUUUGUAAUGUAUAUGAGUUUCUUUUAGGCUAUUUGGUUCUUGUGAUUCUUGAUUUACUCGGCAUUUAGGAUCCUCGCUGCAGAUCUUGAUUCAGGAUUGGAUUUAAUAGGGGUAAUGAUUAAGAAUAUCGUAGUUGUAGUUGGUGUUUAGUUGAAUUUGCUGGAGUAUCGAGAUAUUUGCCAAUAAAAUUUGCAUACGACCGAGAGAAGGUAAUUAAGUAUCUUGACAUGAAGAAAGUUUGCCUACUCUCUUAGAGCUAAUGCACCAAUGAUAACAAAUAGUUAAUGCGGUAGAUGGAUUAACGGAGUAUGAUAAUGCAACAGUUUUUAAUUGGUCUAUCAAUUCGUUAGCCACUCCAUUAAAAAUUGAUGGAUUGAUGAACCAAUUAAUGACCACUGCGUAGACAAAAGCCCAUCAAUUCAUUGAUUCGGGGGACGGAUUACCUAUUUUGAUUUGUAAACGCUAUAUGAAAAAUAGCAAAAUAACUGAUUUUUCUUUCAUAGUAACAAACUACAUCAAGUAAACUAAUGAAAUAGGGGAUUGACGGGGUUUAAAUGGUGGGGAUGCUCCCUUUGGUUAAUUUUUUGGAUGAAGGAGUAGUCAACUAAGUGGAUGCAAUACUUGGUAGAGUAUCUACAUUCCAACUUUAGUAUGGAAAAAAAUGAUUCCAGGCGCUGCUUCAAAUUUCAAUGCUGAGGAAUACAUCAAUUUGUGUAUUGUUUUUCAUGCUAUGCUCGUGUUUGUGUAAUACUCCCUCCGUCCCACCAGGUUCUUUACGUUACUUUUUGGCACGCAUUUUAAUGCUCUUAUAAAGUAUACUAACAUUAUAUAUUUAUUUUAAAAAAAAAUCUCGAAAAAAAGUUUGACAUUUAAACUUUUAUUCAAAAAAAGAAAAACUUAAAAAUACGUUAUAGAACUAUAUUUUACGAGAGCCUCAAAAUGCGUGCAAACAGUGCACGUAAGCAUCCUGGUGGGACGGAGGGAGUAUGUAUUUUUGCAGUAUACGUCAUCAAAAUAUUUUAUCUGAUUGAUGGUGAACUUUUCUAAUCAGCUGACACUGGACUUGUUUUACCUUGCAGAUGUUUAAUGAUCAAGACUUGGGGUUUUUCGCCAAUUUUCUUGGCAUAUUUAUAUUUGUUUCGGUAAUUGCAUACCAUUUCGUGAUGGCUGAGCCAAAGUAUGAGGGCAACUAAGGAGUUGGUUGUCGAUAUGGAUGGAUUGAGAUGUCUUAAUAAUCUCUUAUCCGAAAGUAGAACAUGUUUAUUAUUUUUGUUGACUCGGACGUAAUGAUAGAGAAUGGGAACAUUUGUUAAGAACUUCCAAGUCUGAUGUUUGGUACCUAUUACCUAGUAUAUUAUUUAAUCCUUUUUAUCUUAAGUUUAAGGAGCUAGUUUUCAGAAGAACUUAUACUUCAUUAUAUGACAUGAAUACUAGGUGUCUUGCAUUUGUGUUUUCCUAUAGUCAAUAAUUUCUCUUCAAAAUAUCGCUUUGUUACAAAUAGCAUGUUGGCUUUAUGGUUGAUGUCUUGAUGUUAUCAGUUAGUUGCUACUCAGUUUUUGUGCUUUUGAUUUUUUAUGAUAGUAGCAGCCAUCUCUCUGUGACCAAGUAUUCAGCUGAAACUAGCCUUGUACUUGGAGCCAAGAUUUAUAGGAGUUGACAUUGAAUCUGAUCGUCAAAACAAUAUAUAUGCAAGUAUCUUUGCAAGUCCUAUUGUAAUAUCACUGCCAAAAAGAACUUGUGAAUACAGCUUAGGUCAUGAACAGCUCACUCUUUGGCUCUGUGGGAUAAAUUACCAUUACCAUCACUUUUGGAAUUUGUCUGUGGCUCUGUGCAGCUGAUUUAGGUGUUUUCUUGGUCCUAUUCUGUGUAUCAAUUAGUUUUAUCUUGGAUAGUAUCUCUCGUCCAUAGCUUUAACUCAUAAGCUAUUAGCUGUUGCCUGUUUCCUACUUUUUUCCUUGUAGUUUGUUGUUUUGGAGGAGUCGGAAACCUACCUUUAUCACGAGGAAGAGGAGCUAGGAUGAGGUUUUGCCUUUAGGUGACUGUUCCCAGCUCGGUUUUUUAGGAAGGAAUAUAGUUAAUGUAACACAAGUUAGUUUUGCCCAAAUUGAGCCAUUAAACAGCACUAUAAGUUCCCCAGUUAUCACAUUCACAACAUGUUUUAGCUUUUCAUUAUUUAGACCUUGAUUAUAUCAGUAGUUCUGUACUAAGAAUAAUUGCAAGAAACAAAUAUCAGAAUUUAUAUAUAGGAUAAGAGAUCAUAGUUGAGUUAUAAAACCAAAACAUCAUCAGGAUAGUAAAGUUAUAAAACCAAAACAUCAUCAGGAUAGUAAAGUUAUAAAACCAAAACAUCAUCGGGUAGAUACGGAGACAACCCAGGUCCAGGUUUACAUCAUCUCCUGUGAGCGUCUGACACAACGGGCAACUCUCUUCUUGAAAUCAGCCCUUCGUUCCCUCCAUUCAAUAGCAGCUUCCACAUUGGCCGGAGAUUCAUCAUUAGGGCUCGACAACAAUGAUAUAAUACUCAAGAGUAUGCUCUCCACUGUAUGUACAGGGUUCCAGCGCUCGGUGGCAGACUCAUAGCCAAGAGGAUCAUCCCCGGGUGAGUGAAGUAUCGAGAUGCAAACUUUUCCAUCCUCGUAAAUAUUGGGAUGCCAUAUCUCUGAAGUAAACCUCACAGUCGGAGGGUUGCAGGGGUAAUCUUCUGGGAACGUCAUAACAGCAUUGAAGAAACCUUCUUGAUAUAAUGUACCCGGUGGCCCCAUAAUCGUGACACUCCAUUCGAAGAUGUUUGUUUCAUCUAUUAAGCCAGCAGAGAAUCCGUCUACCGGGUUUCUGCAGAGAUCUUUCAGCUGUUUCUGGAGAAGAAGGUUUGCCUGUGAUGACGAAGCUGUGUUAUUUUCUUUUGAUGAAGCCAUGUUGAUGAUGAUUCUCUCUGAGAAAACUUGAAAAACUUUAACAAUGAACUAUUCUACGGGAGUUUAUAUAGAGAAAGAUGUAACCUAAAUUAAAUUGGAUAUUAGCAAAGAUUGAUACAGAAUUCGAAUGGGAACAGAAUCACCAAAGGAUAAAACUCUGAGGAAACUGUAUAGAUACGUUUCUGAAUUUCCCCAUUAGGUAGGAAUCUUACUUCAUUAACAAUACAAAAUAAAAACCAAUUCAGUGUCUGAAUAAUGGUUGGCUUCAUUAGUCAAUACUCCAUUACCACGGAACAAAAACAAUGUUUGACCGACUUUCAAGAAAUUGGUUUUGCACAGAUAAUAUAUAAUGAAGUUCGUGACAAUAUCUAUAUUUUCAAACUUAUUUUUUGAAAUAUGGUUGAAUUUGUAAUUGAGUUUGUAACGUAAUUGAUUUACCGUUGAUUUUCAGAUUAUUACGUUGGAGAUUGAAUUUUUAGAUUGUAAUAUAAUUGAUUUUCAGAUUAGUAUGUUGGAGGUUGCAAACGAGAUUGGAUCUUAUUUUUAAAAAUAAUUUUUAUAAUUCAAAUAUUUUUGGAAAAAAACCACCGAUAUGUUUCUCCCCGUGGCAAACACUUCCAAAUUUUUGGUAUUGAGGUAUUCCGUACCCAUGCUUUUAGAACAACUAGUUGAGAAUCCGCGCGUUGCAGCAGCCUAUAAAAAUUAUAUUAAUGAUUCAAUAUUAAUAUUUGUAUCAUAAAAUAAUUUUGUGAUUGUCUAUAAAAAUUAUAUUAACAUUUCAAAAUUAAUAUCUUGUAGGAUAAAAUAAANUUUAGAACAACUAGUUGAGAAUCCGCGCGUUGCAGCAGCCUAUAAAAAUUAUAUUAAUGAUUCAAUAUUAAUAUUUGUAUCAUAAAAUAAUUUUGUGAUUGUCUAUAAAAAUUAUAUUAACAUUUCAAAAUUAAUAUCUUGUAGGAUAAAAUAAAUUUAUACAUGUAAUCUAAUUCAUGGUGAAAAAAUAAAAAUAAAUUUAUACAUGUAAUCAACAACUAUGGUGAAAAAAUGAAAAUAAAUUUAUACAUGUAAUUAACAAUUUAAAACACCGACGAAUUUUAAUUUUAUUUGUGUUUUUUUAAAGUAAUUAUGUUCAUACAUUGUCACCUUCCGCCAAUUUUUUUGGCUUGAUUGUGCACAAAAACAUCUAAUUUAAAUCCGUGAGGUUGUGGUAUUGAGAGAUAGGAGGUUGUGUUUAGAUGACCCAAAACCUUACGAUCUAUAGGGGUAUUUAUAAGUACAGAGAGACUUGUGUGCUACCCUUUCCCAUAAUUAAAUAAUCUGAAACAAAAUUAGAUUAUAACUUUCAAACUACUAUAUUCCGUAAAUAAUCUGAAACUUACUUCUAAUAUACCCGAAACUAAAAAAUGUAAUUCUAAUUUUUGAUAUUUUUCAUCCAAAAAUUUCAAAAAAUUAGAAAAAUAGAAUGGAGCGAUGUGAGAGGCGCCACCUACACGCCCCUCGCUUCUCCACCAUAUUUUUCUGUAUACAAAGUAAAUCAUAUAAAAAUUAACAACAACAAACAUGUCCGAUGAACAAACAAAUAUUAUAAAAAAAUAACCAACAAACAUACAUCACUAAUAGUUAAUUUAUGGAUAUCAUCCAUCAAUAUCAUGUCAAGACUAUAUUCUUUCCCAUGUUUGAAUUUGUCGACUCCCACAUAGCGAUUUAUAACUACCAUUGCUUGUAACAACCUUUAUUUUUUUUAAUAUUAUAUAAACAGCCUUCACUUAUCGUUGCAGAAGAACGGCACCACCGAGUUAGAAAUCAAGCAAGAGAAGUUGUGGUAUUGAGAGAGAAGAGGUUGUGUUUAGAUGAUCCAAAACCCUACAAUCUAUAAGGGUAUUUAUAGGUGCAGAGAGACUUGUGUGUUACUCUUUACCAUAAUUAAAUAAUUCGAAACAAAAUCAGAUUAAAACUUUCAAAUACUAUAUUCCAUAAAUAAUCUGAAACAAAAUCAAAUUCUGAAACUUGCUUCUAAUAUACCCGAAACUAAAAAAGAUAGUUCUAAUAUUUGAUAUUUUUCAUCCAAAAAUUUCAGAUAAUUUGAAAAAUAGAACUGAGCGAUGUGAGAGACGCCACAUACACACCCCUCGCUUCUCCUUUAUAUAAGUAUAUUGAUUUUCACUUUUGGACAAUUUUUAUUUUAUUUCAAUUAUUUUUCUUAAAAAGUGCAUUAUGUUGCCAAACAUACUUACACAAACAUUUUUCAAGAAAUUAUUAUACAUAUUUAGAAACAAAUAACAUUCCACACAUUUUCUCCACGGAUAUUUAACCUUGCUCUUGUAGCUGAAAAAGAGAUUUAAACAGGAGAGGAGAAAUCACCAAAGCAAUUAACAUCACCAAUGUAAAAAAACAAAUAAAAGGACAGAAAAAAUGAAUAAAUAUGAAGAACAGACAGGCCAAGGUGAUGCAAUGAAGAACUUUCAAGAAAUAUUCUGAAAUGUGAAACAGUACACAGCGAGUUCACAUCAUCUCUUGAGACCGUCUCACACAUCGGCCGACUUUCUUCUUGAAAUCAUCUCUUCUUUCUCUCCAUUCUUUCUGUGUAGACAAUCAAUAUAAGACUCAGACUUAAACUCUUAUGAUCUAAAAACGGAAUUACACCCUCAGCAAAAGAUACCCUUGCAUUUUGACAGGAAAGUACAUUUGGUGAAAAAUUGUCUCCAUUAAAACACCAACCAACGACAGAAUUGACUUGCUUCUAUGUUAUAUAUAUUUGUUGAAAAGACCCCAAAAGAAGUAUAUGUUGGUCUUUACUUGGGAAAUCUUUAUAAAAAAAAUAAGGUAAAUAAAACUAACUCAUAAAAAAAUUUAAAAAAAAUUAGCAAAGAUAAGAAGACAUUACCGCAGCUUCCACAUUUGCUGGAGAUUCAUCAUUUGGACUUGAAAGCAUUGAUAUAAUACUUAGAACUAUACUCUCUACCUGCAAAGGAUAUCAACGUGAUAUUACAGGGUAAACAUAUAAAGUGAACAAGUAGAAGCUAAGAGUAAUCGAGAACCAAGAACGGCUUUAAUAACCAAGACAUAUAUAUCAUGUAUUAUUCAUGUAGGUGCUUGCAUAUACAUUUUUCGUGAAGCUGUUCCUAUUUGGGGUGUGAAUUUACAAUGUAGAGUUAGAUCCAUCACUCCCAUUUCCACAAAACAUAAUAAUGUAGGUACUGGCAGCCGCAGGACACCCAAGUAAGACUCCACUUGUUUUGCACAAACUAUAGUGUUUGUUUUAGUCCAAAGAUUGAUAUAUUUUCAGUUUGAAUAAAUUCCUAAACACAAUGUUAUAAUAUUAGGAGAAACUAAGUAACUAACUUUCACCCUUUAAUACUCAAAACAUAAUCUCUUGCUUGUUCAUUCUUAUCACAGCAAUAUAUAUUUUCCUGUGCAAGUUAAUCCCUAGGAAAACAGAAUCAACAUCAUAACUAAGUUACUGAUACAUCAACACAGCAACUGGAACUUCAAAACCUAUAAACCUCUAAACCGUUCUAUGUCUAAGGAAAAUGGGUUCUGUGAAAACCUCUAAAACUUGAUCAAUGUCCAAGGAAGCUGGGUUCUGUAAAAACGUCUAACUUAAUAGCCUCAGAUUUUGUAUUUUUGCAAGGUCGAUAACAAAAAUUCAAAUACUAACACACACAUUUGCUCCCAACGAGGUCGAACCCUAGACAUUUGUAACCAAGGGAGUAGGGAUAUCUAUUAGGCUAAUCCUCGCACAUAAUCUUUUAUUCCAAAACCAACUAAAGAUUGGAAUCGCCACUAUUCUACACUCAAAUAUUGGUUUUUCUUGGUCCCUCUAAUACCAAAUGUCGUCGAUAUAGAUAGGUUGCUAACUAGAACUUAGAUAGAGGGGAAUAAUUUAUUUCGCAAAAUUUGUAAUUUCUCUACCAACAUUUGGUAAAGCCAGUACAUCGUAAUAUUUGAUUUUUCUUGGUCCCUCCAUUACUAAAUGCUGAUUCAAUUAAAUAGAUUAUUACCUAUAGGAGCGCAGAAGAACAUAUAGCAUUGCAGUUCUAAAUAGUUUUUUCCACAUGAAAUUCGAGACAUUUAUUAUUCCAAAAGUGCAAAUUCAAACUGGUCUCUCCAUGCAUCUUAUACUGUAAUAGCAUUUAGCAAUGCCACCUAAACACUAACUAAUAGGUCAAUGUAGAAAGCCAGAACACGUAGACAAUGACUAGUUUGUUCAAUGCACAUGUAGCCCAAGGAUAUAAAAAACAUCAUAAUCACUUUUAACAUACUGUAUGGACUGGGGUCCAGCGCUCACUAGCAAGCUCAUAUCCGUUAGGAUCAUCACCCGGGGGAUGAAGUAUGGAGAUGCAAACCUUCCCAUCAGAGUAAACUGCAAUUUAUGUAACAGAAUUUUAACAAAAAAAUUUACUAUAGAUAAAAGCUUACAUAUUAUGUAAGAACUGCACAAAGAAGAUACGAACCAUUGGGGUGCCAUACUUCUGAGGUAAACCUCACAGUAGGAGGGCUGUUUGGAUAAUUCUGUGGGAACGUCAUAAUAGCAUUAAAGAAGCCUCCAUCACUGCACAGAUAAAUAUGUUUAAAAUAUUAUUUAUCACAAGUAAUAUUCAAGAGACACUUAUCAAUUCAAACCAAUAACUACCAACAAAACAAGCUGAAUUUGCUUUAAAAAACAAUCUUCAAAAGAGGUAACAACAUUUCAAAGUUAAUGCUAAACAUACAUGAAACUGUUAAUACCAAUGUAAGAAAAUCCCUAGCUUAACCAAUGUAGAAUAACUAUCUGCCACAAACUAAUUACAAGAACACAUAAUACUUGAACAAUAUGAAAUCCACAUCUACACCAUUCCCAAAACUAACAAAUUUCUACUUAGAACUAAGCAAUGAAUUAUCACAAGUGAAAGCCAAUUAAUACAAAAUAAAAUCAAAGAAUAGUAAGACCUCAAUUCAAUCACCCAUAAAAACAAAAACUUCACAAAACAAUCAAAUUCCAACUUCACUACACACAAACACCAAAAACAAAUAACAAAAAACUCACUAUAAAGUAUCUGGUGGCCCAAUAAUUGUCACACUCCACUCAAAAAGAUUACUUUCAUCAACCAAGCCAGCUGAAAACCCAUCCACCGGAUUCUUACAAAGAUCUGAAAUUGAAAAUCAAGAAACCAUAUAUAAAAAAUCAAGAAAACCCAUAAAAAUUCAAUAAAUCAAGAAAUAAAGUGGUGGGGUUUAGUGCAAAAUAAAGAGGUACCCUUGAGUUGCUUUUGCAAAAGGAGGCUUGCUUGUGAUGGUGAAGCCAUGGGGUCGAGUUACAGAAACUGUUGCUGUAUGUAUAUGCGUAAGUAUAUAUGUUGAGAUUGCAAAGAAGAUUGUGGGUUUUUAUGGUGUUUUUAUAUGGUCUGAUAAAGAGUUAAAUCGACGUAACACAGUUAAACAAGUUCACAUUGGAACAAAUGAUUAAACAAGUUUUCUUUUAACUUGCGUACUGGUUCACUGGAUUCAUGAAUAUAGUGUCUAAAAGCAUAAAAGCACGUGCGAGGCACCGGCCUCUAGUUUUUAUUAUGUUUUAAAUAAUUUUCAUGUGUCAUCAUAUUGUUCUCUUACGGGCUUUGAGUUUGUAUUAUGUUUUAAAUAAUAUUCGUGUGCCAUCAUAUUGUUUCGAGCGUAACUAUUACAUUUUAUUUUUUGACAAAAUAUGUAAAUAUGAAAAAUGUAAUAUUUGCAACCUAAUAGCAUUAAUAGUAAUAAUAAGUACUAUUCCCUCUGUCCCAAUUUAUAUGACCCUUAUUCCUUUUUAGGAUAUCUCUAAAAUAAUGAACUUAUUGUACUUACUAUUUUUAAACACUACUUUUCACUAUUACACCAAAUACUUCUCUAUUUUAUACUUUUUUUUAUUUAAUAAACACUAUUACACUCACGACUUACCUCCACUAUCUCAAAUCUAUUAUUAAAUUUUGAUAUGUUCCACCACUUUACCCACUUUCCAACUAAAUUUACUCUUUUUUUUAUUACCUUUUUCUUAAUCUCCGUGAAAGUUAAAUAAUGUCACUUAAAAUGAGAUGAAGGGAGUAUAUUUUUUUAAAAAAAUAUGGAUCAAAAACUACAUUUGAACUGAUAUUUCUAUAUUCGAAUUCGUUAGGAUAUAGAGACCAUUAUCAAAUUAUAUAUGAUCAAAAUUAUAUUCGAAAUUAAUACUGAAACUUUUGUAUUUUAAAUAUAUUAUACCUCAUUAAAAGUAUCUGUAAUUUAUUGUUGAAAUUAUUAAAUUAUUUCAACUAAUAUACCAUGAUUUUGAUGAAAACCUGUUCUUCAUAUGUGAAUUAAGAUAACCUAAAUCAUGAUUAAAUGAAGAUGUGUGGUUCGCGUUGCCUUACAUUUAUUUCUUCUUCUUUGAGAGCACGUUUGCAUAAUUGUUAAAGUGAUACAUGAUGGAGCAAAUCAUCAACACAUUCUUUUUAGUAUAUGUUGCACACAUCUUGUAUAAAUAGAAAUUAUAACAUAUGUUGUAUGUAAAAAGACAUAUACCUUAUUUUAUUAUAAAAGUAUCAAUUGAACUACUAACCGUGUAAUUGCACCCGAAAAAUUUCCGACACAUUUGACGUGUCUUAUCCUUUUAUUUUUAUGUUGACUUUUGAUUAACAAUAUAGAAUUUCUUUAAAUUCACCUUCAUAUCACAAGUUAAAGUAUUUCAUAUACAUAUAUCAUCAAAAUGACAUCGUUUAGAUAUAUUUUCUGACAUAAAAUUUGAAAUAUUGUCACUAUUCUUAUAUCUAUAAUUUUUUUUAAAAAGAUUUACACAUCAAAUUCUGAAUUCAUAGUUUUAAAUAAAAAAAAUAUUCUAAAUAGGAAUAUUCUUUCAGUUAUCUUAUUUCGUGUUCUCCAAGAUAUUGUAAUCUAUUUAUGAAUCGUCUUUUAUAAUAAAAGAAAUUAAUAUGACAUAGUCCAUUUCGAAAGCCUAUCAAUUUUCCUUUCAAAGAUGCUCGCUUAAAUCUCAGUUUUUGUGCUUAUUUCUCACAUUCAUGACUUAAAAUUUCUAUAAUAUUGUAUCGGUGCUCGUUUAAACUAUUAAGUUAGAUUUGAAUUCGUUCAUUUUUAUUCAAAUAUGAAUUAUAUCUAUUUUUAGAAACCUGAAUCAUGACUCGAACCCGAUUAUUCAUAUUCUUUUUCAAUUUUAAAUUUAUUUACAUAAAUAAUUAAUUUAUAGAUAUUAAUCUAUCAUGUAAACAAUAUACGAGACUUGACUGAAAUAAUAACUUAUCUCAAAUAAAUAAGAUACGGAAACGAAUAUAAAUACAAAAGUUUUAAAAUAUGUGGUUAAUGCUUUUGAAUAACAAGCUAAUUGUUUGUGUAGUUCAAGUGGUUUGAGUGAUGUAUUUGUAUCGGAGAGGUCCUGAGUUCGAGUCUUAUGAAUAACAUCUUUUUUAUAUAUAUGAGAAGAGGUUAGGUUCGGAGUUAGGCUCAGGUUCGGAGGUAAGUAAUUUAUUUGCUCAGGAGGGAGGCUUGUCACGAACGUGUUGGGCUAUUAUAUAUAUAAGUAGAAAGUAGAUAUAUUUUUUUAUUGUUGUGUACUAUUAUUGACUUGAAUCGUUCAUUGCUGUAUUUGUUUUUUUUUUUUUGAAUAAUUGUAUUUGUUUUUUAUUAAUCACCUUAUAAAAAUUCAAUAUAAAUAUUUACAUUAUGUAGAAUUCGAAAAUUACAAAUACAAUAUUAAAAAUUAUAAAUACAUUAUUUGAACCUAGAUGGCUAGAUAAAGUAAUAAGAAAGUUAAUUAAAAAUAUAUUCUAACAGAUUAAUAAACUUGGAGGAUAAACAAGAACCAGAAUUCAAGAAUUUGGAAUCAUCGAACAUAAAUAUUUACCACUACAUUUUCAAAUUUAAAAAAAAUUAAUUUGAUAACAAACGGUAUCAAUUCUACCACAAGUGGACUCAAUAUCAAAUCCUUGCGUUUGUUGUGUGUAUACUUUUUCUUAACCUUCAGAAUCUUUGUUACAAUCCAUUUUUGACAUUUUGCAUUUUGCUUGCAUCCUUAAUCCUUCGUGUUGUCUUGUAGUUUAGUUUUUUCACAUUAUACUUUUCAUCAGUGUAGUAUAGUAUAGCCAACAGAAGGUUAUAUGGGUUCCACAUGUAAAAGGGAAAAAUGCAGGGACAUUGUUGACAACAGUCAAUAGUCCGGUGGUAGUACUGAGAAUAUCCCGAAACUUUACUUAACAUAGCUUUAAAGGAGAAAUUGCUCAUCAUAGCAGUACUCUGUCCAAUGCUUAGAGUCUUCUGAAACACAUAUAGGUGAUGCAUAUAUGCAUAUUCAAGUCCAGUUAUGCCAGAUUUAACAUAAAAAUUCAGUUCGGCAGAUAUUUACACAAAAAUGUCAUAUGAUGACAGGCUGCAGAUAUAAUAUAAUAUUCCUCCUUUUUUAAGAGGCAUUAUACCAACGUAUGAGCCAAGAAGUUAAUAGUUCUACCUAACCUAGAGCGUAAGAAUGAGGCCAAUAGGACAAUGAUCACUACCACCAACAUCUGGGAGAAUAUACGAGUCAUAAACCUUGUCGGAGAUGGACUCUGAAACAAGGAAGUAAUCCAAGCGCCAUCCUGUUUCACAAUACAAGAAUUAAUAAAGAAUAGUAAACAGAAAGGGUUUAAUCAGGGAACACUCAAAGUGCAGCGAAGUUUAGUACACAUUUCUGCUAUACUAGGGAGUGAUGAGCAAGUAAUGUUACUUAACAUCUCAUCCUGUAUAGGGUUGAUACAUAAAGACGUUGCUUCAUUUUUCACACGAGCCUAGACUGAUGGUUCACGGUUCUGCUAUACUAGGGAGUAAUAAGCAAGUAAUGUUACUUAACAUCUCAUCCUGUAUAGGGUUGUUACAUAAAGAUGUUGCUUCAUUUUUCAAAUGAGCCUAGACUGAUAUAACCAUCGGUCAUGUUUCAAAGAACCAUUGACCGAUUUUAAUUUCAGCAAAGUUCAUGACAUACUAAGUGCAGCUUGGCAAUCAACUCAGAAAUAUAAGGUUAUCUACUAACAACAAAGAUAAAUUUAACAUAAUCAAUUCACAUAAAGUUAUUAUAACGUAAAAGCCAAAUUGACAGGGCAGAAUACAUGUUUAAAUAAUCAACAGGAUUUGGUCCAAUACUUGCGUCUUUCCUAUUUCAAAAAGUCGCUGCUCAGGUAUUGUUACAGAAAUGCAGUUUGCAGGUAAAUUAUCAUUUUAACAACCAAUGUGUGGGUUUGUGAAGAAAUUGACUAGAAUAAAAUACUAUUAAACAAUACCUUUAUUUGUCUUGCGUGCAUUAUGCCUGUAAUUCCAGUAAGUAUAGCCAACAACACCAGGAUGCUGAUUCCUAAACGUGUCAACGAAGCCAUUUUUUAAGUAGUUUGUCUCGAAUGACUGCCUUUCUUCAAUCGUAAAACCAGCACUUCUCUUAUUUCCCUGCAUAGCAGAAUAGAUGAGAAUAGAUGAUAGGUUAACAAGUUUAUUAGCCAACCACUGGUGUUACCAAAAAUAGUCGUGAAAACACAAAAACAAAUCUUACCAAUGUUUUUUAAAAAGAAUUACAAAUUUGAGAGAUUGCAUCAACUUUUUAUUAAGAAGAAUAUUGAUUGGAGGUCACAUGCAUCUCUCAUAUUUUAAAUGCCAGUAAUCGAUUUAGUACAUGCAUCGUACCACUUGAGUUUUACAAUGAGUAUUUGGUGCGCGGGAAAGAACCCUGAUUUUCGUCUGGAACUUAUUAAUUAUUGGAUGUGAAUAUUUGAAGCUCUGAAUAUCAGAUAUGGCCUUCUAGGCCACUAGGAUUUGCAUGAACAUGAUUAGGUGAUAUGCAUCUUAUCACCAGAGUAGGUAAUAGCUGCCUUUUCGUAUAUAGAUGAACAGUAUUAUAUAUGCUGAACUUACUGCAGGAUUAUAAAUAUCGAUUUCUUCAUGCGCACAAUUCAAAUCUCCCGUUAAAAUAACAGGCUUCAUCUUCUCUAGCUCCUGUACAAGGCAAGGAAGGCCGUCAACACAACAUCAAAUCAAUUGAAUAACAGUAGUAAUCAAUUUUCUAAUUUAGAAGCACAUGAGAUAUAAGCCAAUAUUGAAUCCUCCUUCUAAAUCACAUAUUUUAGACAGAAUUUGAAGACGAAUAGUAAAAAAGAAAAAACAGGAGGAUAAGAACAGAGGAAUAAAAAUCCAGAUUUAUGUUUACUAAAUUAGUUUUAGGUUUUGCACAAUAUGGCCUUUGAACCUACAUCUGCACGUCAUUUUCAAACUGGAAGAACCAAGAGAAGAGGAAAACACAUAAUAGAAUACAAAAUGGAUUUUAAAAAAAUUAUAUGUAAGCUGUCACUAAACACAUGAUAGAAGAUUAAUUGGCCGUAACUCACCAAAUUAGCUAUCCGUCAUACAUAUGUACACUAUAUGUAAGUGUAACAUAUCUUCAAUGGGUGUGAGAGAGAAGCGAAAGAUGCAUGUGCAACUAUGCAGCAAUGUGAAACAUUCUAUAGCAAAAAGAAAAAAAAGACUUACUUUCAUGUAAUUGCUUAGAGAAGUAUCCCACUCAGUAACUCUGUAUGACUAGAAUUAAAAAAGUUUAUUAGCGCAGAUCAGUUUUUGUAAAAAAAAGUAUGACUAAACAUAAGGUAAAUUAGAUCUGGCUCCAAAUAUGAUGAAACAACAAGGAAUGAACCAAGUAAAUGAUUUACUAAUAUUUCCAUGCCACUUACCAGUCUUUUUAGACCAUCACCUGAAUUUGGAACAUAACUACAUAGCAAAUAGAAAGAAUCAAACUCUACUGUCACAAGACGCCCUUCACUAUCAUGAUCUGAUAUGCCAAGGCCAUAUCUCACUGAAAGUGGUUUUAUCUGCCAGAAACAUCAUAAUAGACAGUCACAUAUGAACAUAUAUAAAUAUUCAGAAACAACUUCUGACUGAAAUUUUACAUCAGAUAUGUAAAGCAAUUAUUAAGAUGCAAACUUGCUCAAUCAUGAUUAAGUUUAGACUGUAGUCCUUAUUCCUCGAUGCAAAAAAAUCAGUCAACUUUUUUGUUUAGUUAAUUACAACUUCCAUAGUACUCUUGGUCAAUGAUCAUAGUGACCAUAUACAUCAUACAUGUCUUCAGAGAGAUUAAUCACAAUUAAGGCUACAAGAUGACUAGCCGCCAACAUAACUAUCAUGAAACUAUUGAUCUAAGAUCAUUCAUUUGCUAACUGGAAAGAAAGAAACUUUACAUAAAGUUGUAAAUGAAAUAUAUAAAAGGAUGAGUAUUCAUAAAUGUCAAGAAUACAUUUUAAAUUUUAUUUCUCACACCAAGUGAAUAUAACCUGAUCCAUCAGCAGCUCUUAUGCCUAAGUGCCACGCAUAUAUGGUUGAAGUGUGUUUACUGUGUUCAAGUGCUUCUACCAUCUACUAUUUACUGCCUAACAAUGAACAGUUGUAAAACUCUCCUUCCCUAAGGUCCAGAAUUCACAAAAAAGUUCCAGUUUUCGCUGGUCAUAAAAUUAAAAAACAGAUAUAAAAGCUUCACUACUACCUUUGAACCAGUCAAUAGAAAAGAAAGUUAGAUAUGACCUAUUAUAACAAGUAAAUCAUAACAAGGUAAUCAUAACAGCUUAAACACAAGCUUCUCAUAAAAUGUCGUACCCUUGAGAUAAUUGCAGUACCAGAAUACCCAAGCUUGGAAACGCUACAUGUCCAAAAGCUAUCUUUAUAUCCUUCAAGAAGAGAGCAUUUGAUUGCCUCGACAUCUUUCUCCUGUUGUGAAAGGAAAUUUCUUAUUACUUUUUGUCUAUUACUGCAAACUGCAGAAUAUAGGUUGUGUUGCCACUGGAUGUGAUAAUAAAAUCCCAAUCACUGUCAUUUAUGCUACAUAGAAUAAAUGCAACUGCAAUGUCAAAUCUGUACUGGUUCAAACACAACUCACUAAGUAACUCAUAGCGUGUGACAUGCAUAUCUUAAUUCAUGUGUACUUUUCCGUAUUUAGCAAUGACUAGCUCCUUUUAUAUUAGUACGAAUAUCAGGACUGCUGUCAAGUGGUCAAGCAAUUAUGACCCACGUGUACACUGUCUACUGAUAAAAAAAAAUGACUUGAAAGGCAUUGAUACAGUAUCGAAUCAUUUAUUCUCCAUGUCAUGCCCAUUACAAAGAGGAGCUGUUGGAUUGGAGUUUAAGGUUUCUAAUAAAUGAUCAUAUUCAUAAGGUGCUCGCUCGCUCACUCUUAUAGUUAUUAGUUUAUCCUCAAUUAGAUCAAUACAUAGAUUAUUGUUAUUAGCAUCUAUUUGUGUCAUCCUUUAGCUCAGUAAUACAGUAAUUACUUCAAUGCUGUUCUGAGCCAAGCUUAUCCCUUCGAUGAUAAGAUACCCUGACCAACAACCUAUUAGCAAUUUAGCACUUAAGUCCCAGAAUGCAUGUUUAAGAUAAUCUAGUUCGAGACUACAGAAUUAGGAGAUACAUGCCUGUAAUUUAGUUUCUUGCAAGCACAACACAUCAAAGUCUUCCCUUUGUGCAAGUUGCAGUGCAGAAAAGCCUUCUAAUUUCAGUAAAGCUCGUAAGCCAUUGACAUUCCAAGACAUCAACUUAACAUGCUUUGUAUCAGCAGUAAGACGAGGCUUCCUCAUGGUCCGGGGAUUGUAAGGUAUCCACCCUUUUUGUGGCUUCUUGUGUGCAAGAACAGUCCAGGGUUCAAAUUGAUUCUCUAUAAGAUCAACCAUCUUAGAUUCUCCAUCCACUUCCGCUGGAACGUCUUCCUUUGCACAUAGAGCUUUACUAACUGAAGACAUAAUAAACAAUUAACAAACAUUUUAGUUGUCAUCAAAGGUGGUAGAAAAACACAAAGAAAUUUCCAAGUACAAAAUAACCUGUUGCCUUGUUAGAUCUUAUUGAUGUAACUUUAUCUUUAGCAACUCGCUUGGUUUUAGAUUCCGCAAUGGUUUCCUCAUCUGGUGCCUUAUUCACACCUUUCUUGGUCCGUUUCGCCACAGCAACCUUUGAAACAGUAGAACUGACGCUCUCGGCUUGUAUCUGAACAGACGAACUUUCAACCUUCCUUUUCAGAUUUUCCUUCGAAGAAUUUGAUUUCGGUUCCAUGUUUUUGCAGUCGUCUGCAAUUAGUGAAUUUUCAUCUCAACUAACAGAAGUUUCCAUACCACAAAAUGAAAGCAUAUAAAACCUCCAAGUCAUCAUCAGUGUCCACCACCCCAACCUUCUAAUAUUUUACACAUAUAUAGUAAUAACAACAAUAUUACACCAAUAUUCCGCGUUAAAAUUACAUUACCACCAGGAUUUGAGCUUAGAUAAGCCCUCAAAGCAUCCACCAGCUCAGUUUUACGCCCUUUCACCGGGACACCAACACUCCUGCAAUUAACAAAACUCAUUAAAAACACACAAAUCAUCAAAAACUCACUUACAAACAGAACAGCAAGCACAAACCUUAGCUUCUGUCUCAAUUGAACAACUGACAACCUAUCUAUACUAUCCGAAUCACUCUCAAAAUCAUUUUCAACAUUUCCAGCUUCAGACUCAUCAUCACUCUACAAACCAACAGCAUAUCACAAAAGUUAACUCAAACAAAACACAAUCUGCAAAGUCAUUAUCAAAAAAUUAAUUAACAAAUAAAUAAAACUAAUUAAUUAAUUACUUUGGCAAUAAUAGUAGGUUUAGAGGUAGCUUUAGAAGACGCCAUUGCUCUUGAGAACCCUAAACUGCUUUGGACCACUGCAAGACUGAAACGACGUCGGUUAACGAGAUAUGCACAAAAAUGGUGUAUAUGAUUUUAUGUCUGAGUGUAUUACCUUGGACGAAUUAGGAAAGUGCGGAAACCUAGUAUUGUGGGAGAUGGAAAUACAUGAUACAUUGAGAGGGGGACAGGAUAAAGAGACGGGGUGCGUAUGUUAAGGGAGGAGAGGAGGCGCAGGAUAGCAGCAUGACGAGGAGGAGCUAUGUUAGGGUUGUGAGAUAGGCGGCAAGGUUCGUCAGGUGUGGCAACGGUCAAGUCGGAGGACGUCGGGGAGGACGCGUAUUAGAGCAUCUCCAACGCAGGUCACCUGUUAGCUUUAAAAUCUACGUGUCAGUCUAUAUAUCUAAACCCUAAAAAAAACACAACUCCAAGGCAAUCAACAUUUCCAGCUUCAGACUCAUCAUCACUCUACAAACCAACAGCAUAUCACAAAAGUUAACUCAAACAAAACACAAUCUGCAAAGUCAUUAUCAAAAAAUUAAUUAACAAAUAAAUAAAACUAAUUAAUUAAUUACUUUGGCAAUAAUAGUAGGUUUAGAGGUAGCUUUAGAAGACGCCAUUGCUCUUGAGAACCCUAAACUGCUUUGGACCACUGCAAGACUGAAACGACGUCGGUUAACGAGAUAUGCACAAAAAUGGUGUAUAUGAUUUUAUGUCUGAGUGUAUUACCUUGGACGAAUUAGGAAAGUGCGGAAACCUAGUAUUGUGGGAGAUGGAAAUACAUGAUACAUUGAGAGGGGGACAGGAUAAAGAGACGGGGUGCGUAUGUUAAGGGAGGAGAGGAGGCGCAGGAUAGCAGCAUGACGAGGAGGAGCUAUGUUAGGGUUGUGAGAUAGGCGGCAAGGUUCGUCAGGUGUGGCAACGGUCAAGUCGGAGGACGUCGGGGAGGACGCGUAUUAGAGCAUCUCCAACGCAGGUCACCUGUUAGCUUUAAAAUCUACGUGUCAGUCUAUAUAUCUAAACCCUAAAAAAAACACAACUCCAAGGCAGUUGAAUCAGUGUCUGUCAUCUAUAUCAUAUCCACGUCAUUUUCUUUUAAAAUUUAAUUUUCUCUGCUUUAACCCCUAGGUGUCUAUAUUAUAUUAUAUAUGUAGAGUUAAGUUCUAUGUAGUCCACAUAUUUACUGUAGUACCGUAGACCACGUAUGUUCUGCAAUUAUAGAAUGACAUAAACACAUUGCAAGAUGUAUGAAACUUGUUAUUUUGUGAAAUACAUUCUAUAAAUAUCACUAUUUCAUGAAAAAUAUUGAAAAUCAUUUAUGUUCGACAAGUAGAACACAUAUGUUCUGUAAUAUGUAAAUAUGUUCUGCAAACUUAACAUGUUUUGCAGAAUAAUGUGUUUUUCACUAUUUAAUUUGUAGAAUGUUUAGGAUUGUCAAAAUUUUUAACAAAAGAAUGAUGUUUAUAGAAUUUGAUUUGCAAAAUAACACAUUUUACAAUGUUUUUAUGUCAUUCCAUAGUUGCAGAACAUACAUGGUCUACGGUACUACAGUAAAUAUGUGGAUUACAUGGAACUUUGUUCUAUAUAUGUAUUAUAAUAUUAUAAUUCUAUUAUAUAUAUAUAUGUAUUUGUAUAACUUUUAAUUUUUAUAAUUUAAUUUUAUGCAUUGUUAAGUGUAAAAAUAUUUAUAAAAAAUUAAUAAUAUAAUAAAACUAAUAUAAUAACUUAUAUAGUUAUUUAACGUCAAUUGUGAAUUUUUAACAAAGAAAAUUAGUAUAUAUUUUUUUUAAUUAUAUUUUUUAUUUUCACUUAUAUUAAAUAAUAAAAUAAUUAUCUUUAUAUUUUUAAUUCUUUCAAAACCUUUUUCAAAAGAUAAUUAUCAAUAGAUAGUUAACUUAAAAUCUUUCAUUUUGACUUUUAUUCUUGCCCUUCUAAUUUUUUUUAUUUAUAGCAUAUAACAUUCUACCUUAAAUCAUUUUUACAAUAUUUAAAUUAAAAUAUUUAAGGUACUAUUAUUAUUAUUAUUAUUAUUGCAAGUAUAUAUGUAUUAUUCAUGUUUUUUUAUAAAUAAUAUUGUUAUGUAAUAUUAUGUGAAAAUGUUACUUUAUUGUCAAUCAAAUUUUUUAAAAAUAUAAUAUAAUAAUAUAAAAAUGUUAAAUAUUAUAAUUAAUCAUUAUUUAUUAAAGAUAUUAUUUUGUUUUCAAUAAUAUAGAAUAAAAACUAAAUAAAUCAUUUUAUUGUAUAUUAAUAUGUUAACAUUUAAAAUAAUAUUUUGCAUAUAGCUAAUGGUUUUAGCUAAUAUCCACCGGAGCAAAAAUCCUUACAGGCUCAAAAAAAAAUUAGCUAAUGAUAUUUUAGCUAACAGUUUCAUGUUUAGUAUUGGAGAUGCUCUUACAUGUGUUCUUUAUUUACUUACAGAAAAAUAUAAUAUAAAAAAUGUGGCUCUUAGCAAUUUAGGACAAAAUUAAGAGUAUAAACUACAACAAUACUCUCUACAUCUCUUCUCUAUUUCAUAUUUUAUUCAUAUAUUGGGCUCCACUGUAACAAAAGAGAGAGAAAGAUGAAAGUGAAUUGGAGGGAAUAAUUUUUUUUAUUGUGAAAAAAUAAGUUAAGAGCAAUGUGGUGUCUCUUAACUUUGAGGAGAGAGGAGAGAGAAACAAGAGGCUCUUAGUGAUUUAAAGAGCCACUUAGAGCAACUCCAAGGGGCUCUCUAAACAAGCUCCUAAGUCUAAAAUUUAGGAGCAAAUCAAAAUUUAGUGCUCCAAUGGGCUCCUAGAUGCUCUUUAAAAAUUUAGGAGCCUACUCUCUCUCCUUUCUUUUAAAGAGCAUCUAGUAGCUCCUAACUCAAUAUUAUAUUAUUUUUCCUUCAAUCUUCUCUCUCUUUUAGUUAACUUUUUCCUCUCAUUUAUAUAAAAUAAAUAUAAAAUAUGAAUAAGGAGCCAAAUAUAAAGAGUAGCAUUGGAGUUCUCACGUUUUCCGGUGUAUUAACUUACUAGGAGCCACAUUUUAUAUUAUUGUUUAGGGAAUGAUUUAGGAGUACCGUCUAAGAGCAUCUCCAAUGGUGCUCCUAAAUCCUCUUUUAAAAAAUAGUAUAAUAUGUGGCUCCUGGUAAGUUAAUACAUUGAAUAUCGUGGCAACUCCAACCACACUCUUUAUACUUGCUCUCAACUCAUAUUUUAUUAUUAUUUGAGAGAAAAGUGGGAGAGAGAAUUAGAGAGAAGUGAAUAGAAAUAGAAGAAGCGAUUAUUUUAUUCAAUGAAAAUAUGUUAGGAGCACCUAGAUGCUCUUUAAAAGAAAGGGGAGAGAGGAAAGGAGCCCAUUGGAGCUUUAAUUUUUCAUAUCCUCCUAAAAUUUAGAGUUAAGAGCUUGUUUGAGGAGUCCAUUAGAAUUACUCUAAAUGAAGAGGAUCUUGGAGAUGCUCUAAGUAUUUUUGUUUCAGAGCAUAUCCGACCAUCAAAAACCCUGCUAAAAUGUGGGUAGACAUACCAAAAAUAAAAAAUUUGAUCAACCUCCCAUUAAACUCACAAUCCGAUCAUACAUAUCUUGUUGUCUAUGAUUUUAAUCAACCUCUCGUGGGGACUAUAUUUGUUGAAUAUGUGUAGGUUUAAAAUAUUAAUAACAUAUAAUUUUUAAAUUAUAGCCAACGCCAAUCUCAUUAAAGUAUAAUAUCUUACAAGUUGAGCAAAUUUUAUAUAAAGUUUUAAAGGUUCAAUUUAGCCAACGAUUAUAGUCAACACUCUUGGAAAUUCUCCUAGGCUCGAUUUCUCAAUUUCUCCAAACCGAAUGUAAAUGAAAACAAAACAACUUUCAUUUAUAUUUCAUUUUUGGAAUAAAAUUUUUGGAAUGAAACUAUAUUAUAAUUACACACACGCACAUCUCAUUCUAUAUCUAUAUGUUCUUAACGAGCGCAAUGUCCAUUUAGCCUUUUUAGCCACGAGUUACCCAUGUUUUACUCACUUCCUAAUCGAAAUUACCUAUUCUACCUGACCCGUUUAGAAAAAAAUAACCGGCUACAUAACCGACUCCAACAACUCAUAUAUUUUACCUUGCCUUCUUCACGAAAAUUGAUUGCUGAUUUAUUCUGUUGUCUGCUAAUUACGGCAUUCAUAUCUUCCAUCGUGGAAAGUGCAUGUAAUCAAGGAUGCAUAUUAGACUAUGAAUGUUAUUUUUCAAAAUUCAAACUGAAGUUAUUUGCUUGCUAUGGAAGAGUUCUUGUGUGGGUUCGUAGAGUGAUUUUUGGCAAGCGUCUCAUCGGCUAUGGAAGCAGCCAAUGAUUAAUUGGUCAAGCUCAGAUUUGUACAGAAGAGGCCUGAUCUUGCAAUAGUAUUUACCGGGACUGUACUUUCCACCACCGUGAUUGCGAGGCUCAUGUAUUGUCUUUGAUGUGUAGGUCGUAAGAGAAAUAAAGAAAAUCAGUCAGAUGGUUCACUUGCUGGUAUUAGCGUAACCAUUGCCUGACAUUCAUCAAUUGAGCAUUGUACUUUAUGCCGUGUUUGUUUAAGGUAGGAACACCACGUGUUUGUGUUUUUUAUUCACCACCGGCACCAUGUUGCAGGCAGGAUUUAUUAUUUCUGCAAAGACGCGCUGAAAACAUUAAGAAAUCCAGGACCAUCGGGACUUCGUCAGCGUUUGACAAUAUCAGCUCAGGAAAAAAUGGUAUUCACGCUCUCUCAUUGUGUAGACUUGCUGAUUUGUGAUCGAUGUCUUACAAUGUAUGCAUCAUUCUUCGCUUUUUAUUAUCGCAGCCACGAGUCGUGUCCCUCUAUCAACUGUUGAUCAUAAUGAAUCCAAUCAAUGUAUGUCGGAAUUUCUGUCAAAUGUACAUAUUUAGUUGGAUGCUGCAUACUCUGUAUUGUUUUGAUCUAAUUAUAGUGCUGAUACACACUGUUUCUUUUUGUGUUGUAUACUCAUCUCCUCUCAUUGUUUGCAUAGUGAGAGAGUAUUUGUUAGUGCAAAUAUGUUGUUUUGUCUUCUAAUGGACAAUUGUUUUAGAUGUAGGCAACAGUCAUUCUCCUCUUUCCAACAGUCGUCGGUAUUCGUUGGUUGCAGAAACCUGUGAAUCAGAUUAUGCUCUUAAAGGUACUGGCAGGUCUUUUUUAAUGGUUUGCCUAUAAGUUACGAUGAGUUGAUGAUUGUUCUUUGUUACUUUCACACAUUUCAUCGUUGAACAUUUUACCAUUGCAGCCACAGGUCGUGUCUUGCUAUCAACUGUUGACCAGAAUGCAUCAAAUCAAUGUAAGUUGGACAUACCUUCUGAGCAUUUAAAGAUUAAAGGGGCUGCUCUAAGCUUUUUAUAUAUUUGGUUUAAUUUUAUAGUCACUGCAUUGUGUCCAAUGUUAUUUUUGAAGUGUUAUUCGAGCACGUGAUUGUUGAUCUUUCACUUUUCUUGCAGCAAUCAGGCGUUCUCCGUUGUCCAAUAUUGAUCAAAAUGCAAAUCCUGGCUUUUGUGUUGGAUUCUACCGUCACAGGUCGAUAGCAAUUUAGCUGUGUUAGAUUUCAUUUUAAUUUUCCACCUUUAUAUCAUGGAUAUAAAUUUCUAUAUUUGUUGCUCACCGCGUUGAAAUAUAACUGAUGUUGAAAUUUGGAAUCAGGUGUCAAGCGUAGAGGUCCUGAUAAUAUUUUGCUUACAAUAUGCUCAAGGUUUUCUGUGUACUGGAUGCUACUCAGUGCCAAUCCUCACAACCAACUUUCUUAACGUAUUGUUCUCUCAUCUCCAGACCACACGAUCCUCCCAUCUUCUUUAUAAACAAGUAUAUAAUGUACAGUUUUCUUAAAUUUACCCGAUAUUAUUGAUGGCGUUGAUAAACUAACUAUAACCAGAAAACAGAUUUUUGAUUUAGCUAUGGGUUUUGGCCUUGAAAACCGAUGAUGAAAUUCAUGAUGAUAAUGUAGAACCUGUAGAUUUCUUGACUACUGAUGGGUUGCCUCAAGCAGAAGGAUUAAUCUAUUUUAAGUGUCAUGAUACAACAUAAGGAUAGGUUAGCAAAUAAUAGUUUUAUAACAAAGACACCUGCAAGAUUGUUAAACGAUACGAAGAUUUAGGCCUCAUGCACCCAACAAGACAUCAUAUAAAUCAUUACUGCACAUAUGCAGUGACAAACAGUAUGAACACUGAGAAAGCUCAGAGAUCUAUACCAAGUUGUGCAGCAUUUUAUUGUAAUUCUUUGACACUUGACACCAAACAAAUACUAUACAAGACAAACAGAAACCAAGUCAGCCAUAUAGUGUAUUCUACAAAUUGAAUACAAAAUGCAUGAUCAUUUUCUGCAUAUAGGUCUCCUCUCAGGUGAUAACAUUUGCCGCUGAGUGAAAAGCAGGAGGCGGAACAUUUGAGGAGGUUUCUACUGGUGGUUCAGUACGUCGAAGUUUCCUUUUGCUCUGUCGAGGUUGAGCUUUCAGGCCCAGAUCUGAGCCUGCAGCAGGAUGUUUCCUUACUAUCUUCUGAGGCGGAACUGCACAUGUUUCAGUUGGGUCAGGUAUGACUUCGGCUAAUUUACAAUUCUUCUCAAUCUCGUGUUGUAUAAAUGUCUGCAUCAUAUUUAGAGGUUGAUGAGCAAACUUUUCAAUCUUCCUUCUACUAUACAAGCUGUUGAAUAAAAAUCUCUAUACAAAGGAGGAGAUGUAAUAAAGGAGUAUAAGCAGGAGAUGUACAAAGGAGUUUUCUGUUCUUUUCAAUAUUCAAGCAUCAGGCCUGCACCAAUUAAUACUAUUUUUAAUAAUACUAUUUGUUCAUUUGGCGAAGUGUUUGGGAGUCGAAGUCAGUUCUCUCCGCUGGCCUUAAAUGGUCAGUUGGAUCUGGGGAAAAUAUAAAAAUUUAUGGCCAACCUUGGCUGGGGAACGACUCUAAUCCUUAUAUUAUUUCAGAACCAAUGCCCCUGGAGAAUUUCAAGGUCUCUUCUCUGUUUUACAAUGGGAGUCGAGUUUGGAAUAUUGAGCUCAUAAGAGACAUGUUUGUUGCUCGGGAUCAAGAUUGUAUAAUAAACACAAAGGUACACGAGCAGGGUUCCGAGGAUCGCUUAUACUGGUGCAAGGAGACCUCAGGGGUGUACUCAGUUCGCAGUGCUUAUCGGCUUUUACAAGCUCAGAAAAAUUUAUGGCAAAGUCGUGAUAAUAUUAGUUUUUGGCGAAAGGUCUGGCGGGUUAAAGCUCCACCAAAAGUUCUCAAUCUUAUAUGGAGGGUUCUUUCUAAUAGUCUUCCAACUAAAAGCCAACUGGUCCAAAAAUUUGUGCCAAUUCUUAAUACAUGUCCUUUCUGUAAUACAGAGGAGGAAACAACUAUGCACGUGCUGGUGACUUGCCCUGUAGCUAAGCAAUGCUGGGUGGGUUUGUUACCAGUAAAUCAAGUUAAGAGCAUCUCCAACGGCGUUGGCUAUAAUUGUUGGCUAAAUUGGACCUGUAAGACAUUAUGUAAAAUUUGCUGAACCUGUAAGACAUUUUGCUUCAAUGGUACUGGCUAUAUUGGUUGGCUAUAAUUUAAAAAUAGUAUGUUAUUAAUAUUUUAAAUUGUUAAAAUAGAAUAUAUCAGUUCAAUAUGGUAAUAAAUGAUGUACAAUCUUCCUGCAGAUUUUCUUACAGACCUGUAGAGGUUCGACAAAUUUAGCCAUCCAUAAGAGGUUGGCUAAAUUUAUAGACAACAGGUGAGCAUGGUUGGAGUUGAGAUUUUGAAGCUGUUGGCUAUUUUUUUUAUUUUAGGUAUGCCAACUCACUUUUUAGCCAAUGGCUUUAGAUGGUUGGAGAUGCUCUAAUGACGGUACUGAUUUUGGAACAUGGUUAGAAUGAGUGUUCCAACACAAUUCAAAUUAUCAAAAAGCGGAUAUUAUUACAUUAUGUUGGGCGAUUUGGAAAGCUCGAAAUGAGCUGGUUUGGGAUUAAAAGUAUCCUCACUUAGAUGCUAUUGUAGUGUCAGCAAUGCAGUAUCUUGGAAGUUGGAGAAAUGCCCAGGUUAUCAUUUCAUCAACUAUGUUUCCUAAUCUGUGUUCAGGGGAGGGAGCCAGUGCUUGGGUCAAGCCGCCGAAGUCAACAAUCAAGGUAACUGAGGAUGCUGCUACAUUUAAUUCUUUGAUGUGUAUCCCUCUCUUUCCAUGCUUUGAUGUGUCAACUUUUAGACAUCAUAAAUCUUGACAACUAACCUAUAGUAAGCAUACCAAUGAGUUUUUGUACACAGAUACACAUGUUGUAUCGACUAUUUUAGCUUGCAGGACAGAUGAGGCAAAUGUGUUUGGUAGGACUACUCAGAAUUCAUUUUACUACUUUUAUGACAAGGAUGGUCAUUCAAGAUCAAUGACAGUCUAAUAGUGAACCGCAUAUAGCAUAUCUAUUAAUGGCAAUACUACUAACUUCACUUCGAGUUUCUUCUCAUUCUUCAAGCAGAUGGAUAAACUGGAGAAAGUUGCUAAAGACAGGUUUUGGACCGGCAAUGAUGCUGCUUCUGGAGAUGUAGUCNGGAAGAGUUAUGUGCAACUGUGCAUUAAAUUUGUAUUCAUUCAUUUUAUGGUCGUAUAUUGAUUUCUAUUUUCCUUCAAUGCUCAGAAUCUUUUAUAUAUUAAAGAAGCAACCGCAGAUUUGAAGAUGAAAGCCCUUUGCAAAAAUUAAAAAUUAUGCUUUGAUUUUCACAGAAAUUAAGAAUUAUGCUUUGAUUUUCACACUGCAGAUUUAAAUAUAAGUAAUAUAUUAAGUAAAAUUAAUACAAUAUUUUUUUUGCAAUUUCACAUUAUGAUUAUUUAAAAUUUAAUAAUACACUAUAUAUAUUUAAUAAUUAUUAAGAAAUAAUCAUACAAUAUUUUUAUUAGAAAUUUAAUGAUCUCCUACUUUUUUUUCAAAAUUAUUGAGGGUGUUAGCACGUGUAGCGCGGACAUAAUUCCCAAUUUAUAUUAAACAAUACUAAUAACAAUAAUUUUGUAAGAUGAUAGAACAAUUUUUUUGACCUCUUUUUACAAGAUUGAUUUUUGACAUUUAAGAGAAUCGAAACUUAUUCUUUUUGUUGGAAUUAUAAAUUGUGUCUUGAUAGCGUAAAUCUUUAGUUUUUCAAUAUUAUAUAAGUAUUAGUUUUUUUUUAUUCACUUUCAAAUUUAAAUUUAAUAUUAUAUGCAAAUAUAACUUAAAUCCGGAAAAUCAACAUAAUCAAGAAUUAUAAAAAUCAUAAUUGUAAUUUUUCAAUUAAAUUUUACAAUUACGAUCCAAUUACUAAUAUUAUUCCCUUAAAUAUUUUAUUUUAUUUCUAAUUAUAUCAAAAAUAAAAAUACUAUAUCAAAAAUAUUAUUUAAUACCAAAAUCUAAUAUUACAUUUUUAUUAAAAGGUAAAAGAAAAUUAAGAUUGUUCCGACCAAUAUUUUGUUAGCAUUAAAUUUCAAUUUUCAUAUAAUCGUGUUAUAUGAGUGGUUGAAUUCCAAAAUUUUACUUACUUUGAAAUUUAGUUUAAUUAUAGAAAUCAACAAUUAUAUGAAAAUCAAGAAUUAUAAGAUAAUAUUGUUAAAUUUUAAGAUAUAACUGUUAGAAUCAACAUAGAAUUUUAGCUAUCAUAUUUAACAAGAUUCUUAAAAUAAAAUUCUCACUUAUGUUACAAUUAAAUUUAAAAUUUUAUGCAGAUAUAACUUAACAUUUGAUAACCGGGAAUUUAGAAUUUUAAAAAAAAUGCUGUAAUAUAUAAAAAUUAACAAAUUAAUAAGUAUAAUUCAUAUACAAAUAUCACUUUCACUAUAUUUUGUUAGCAUAAAUCUCAAUUUUUAACGGUGAUCGAAUACCAUAUAUCCCAAAUAAUUAAUUUUUUGAUGAUGCAGUACCUGUAAAUAUACAUAAUAUGCUAAAUAAAUAUUAAAAAUCUAAUGUUAAUAUUUGUUUAAUUUAUUUUCCCACCUUAUUUUAAUGAAAAUUUUAAUAAUUUACCCGCACGCGAAGCGCGGGCAUAAUUCCCUAGUGUAUAAAAUAACUUUGUUAAUAAUGAUCAUAAAAAUCUCACUGAUUUUCACAAUAUUUCAAAAAGCUUAAAAUCAUUAAACUAUUCAUAAAAUCCAUCAUCUUAUCAAGUUGGAGAAAAUCCAUCAAAAAUUAAAUAUCAUCAUAUUUUAAUAGAUUUUAUACAAUCUUAAAUGAAUAUUGUCGAAUUUUUAAGCAUAAUCUAAAAUUCCAAUUUAAUCAACCAAAUUUUGUAGCAUUAUUUAAAAUCUUAAUAACUGAUUGCUCAAAGAUUUCGAUAACUUUUUAAAAUCAGAAUUGAAUAUUCUCGAAUUUCAUGAAAUAGUUAUUUAAAUUCUUACCGAAUACACUCCCUUAAAUAACAUAGUACAAUCCUACGAAAUCGAUCAUUUUACCCGAAGUCCAAAAGAAUCCAUUUAAUAAUGCCAUCAGAUUUUAAUAGUAGAUUUUAAAUAAUCCUCAAUUUAAAACAUAAUUUAACUAAUUAAAUAUCACCAGAUUUUGUAACAUAAUUUAAAAUCCUAAUUGAAUAUUCGAGGAUUUAAAUAAUUUUUAAAAUUCAAAUUGAAUAAUCUCGAAUUCCAAAAACAAUUUUUUUUUGAAAUAAAAAAAAACAAUUUUAAAAACAAUUUUUUUAAAAUUUAAAAAAACAAUUUUUUUAAAAUUUAAAUUCCAAUUGAAAAAAAUAAAUAUAUUGAUUAUCUGAUAUCCUGUUGCUGAUUUGCCAACUGUAACUCUGUAAGUCGGAGCAUAAACAAAGAGUAAAACAGAGUGGAAUCUUUUCUCCUCUGCGUGCGACUAAUCUCGUAUCUCUCACCGGCCGCCAUUUUACAAAUUUAUAACAACCCCCAUCUACACUUCCUAGUUGCUGCACAUCUCAUUACACAAACAGGUGCGUUUUGCAAUUCAAUUAUGUGUAUAUACAUUUAUAUUUAACACAGUGUCCAUUGGUGUUGCUCUAAUGCAUUUUUCUUGUCUAAUUCAAUUUACUGAGAUCUGGGUAUGUAAUUUUUGUUGCUUUAGUUGAGAUUUAUUGAUUUUAGUGUGCUGUUAUUGUGUUUUAUGUUGUGGGUUUUAGUUUAGCUGAUGAUUUUGACAACUUUUCGUUAAUUUUUAUGAAUUGAUGGUUUUUUUAGAACUUCAAAAGGGAUGAUAGAAUUGAAUGUUUAAGGUUGAAGAAGUACAAUGUUGUUAAGUUAUCGGUUGUCCUAAAAUCUGAAUGUUAUAUUUUAACAGUUCUCCUCGGUGGGAGUUUAUUUUUGAUUCGACGAGUGGAUCAAGCGACUUGCUGGGGUAGCAUCUUGUAUUACAGUCUAACAAUUGUAAUUAACCGGUUAUUUUGUAUCAUGUGUAUUUUAUGGUUUUGUCUAUGUAAUUGAGUCAGGUUGUGUAAGAUAUUAUGAUAUAAGAUCCUCACGAGAUCAAAUUGCGACCCACUUGGAACUAUAGUGGACCCGGAAAUUGAUAGACCUACCUAGUAAUCCACUCUUCAAAACCAAAAAAUGGGAUCCUAAGAAAGGAUAGAGCCACUGUAGGGAUCCACUCUUUGAAAGCAAAAACCUGGGCUUUCGAGUGAGGAGGGAUAGUGAUCCACCCUGCAAAUCCAAAAAGUGGGAUUUUAAGUGAGAGGGAUAUUGAUGACAAAAAGAUCAUUUCAAGCCCAACACCUUGAUCUUUAAGGAGAAGUGUAACAUAAGUCAGAGUUAACGCUACGUAGUACCUGUGGUUUAUAAAUGUGACCCGAGAGUCUGCAGUGUAAGUGUACAAAAUAUCUAUUUAGGGAGCAUGCUUUUAUCUUCUCGAUCAGAUUUUAAUUUAGGAUCAUUGCCCUUUUAUUUUAUUUAAAAUUGGGAUCAGAUUUUAAUAUUUUGGAAAAACAAACUUUACUGCAAGUUUAGUUCUUCAAUGUUUUGUUAUUUGCAAUAUAUUGAUAUUUAGGCAGGGAGGUGGAAUUAUAGUUUAUACUUUAUAGGAAUUAGGAAAGUGUUGUGUUCACAACAUAUAUGUGAAUGAGAUUGCCAUGUUGCAUGAUUUCUGAUAUAGUAGUACAGUAUAUGGUUACAAGCCUUUUCUUUUACCCUUCAACUGGUUAUAGAAAAUAUGCAUCUGAUAUGUUUAUGAGGUUCUGCAGGUAGGGUUUUCUAAAAAAUGGCGGGAGCUCAGUCAUCUCAAGGAUAUGGCCAUCCUUAUAUUCCGGAAGAUCUUAGUCUUCCAGGUUUCGUGCCUGGUUUUCUCUCAAUGUCAACUAUUGUUGGAGUCUAUGGAGGGUCUUCGUUGCUUGUUGUAUCCCUCGUAUGGAUUAUCUCCGGUAAUCUAUUCUAAACAGAUGAUAUAGAUUUUUUCAUAACUAACCUCAACUCCAAAUAAGUCCGAAAUUAUGUUUGUUCAUGUGCCUUGGCUUGAAAAGGAUAUGUAAUCUAUAUGUUUGCUUAUCAAAACAGACCUAUAUGCAUCUACUUUUACCAGAGCGUAGUAACUUCCUUAGUCUACGAUCGCCCUGGUCAAUUGAUCUUGAUUUAAUACAUUUUUAUGGGUAGGAAUUGUCUUUUGAAUGGAAACAGCAGCAUUUUUGAAAUUAGUGUAUGGACAAAAACAUUUUUUGAAGUUGAAUUGGUUGAAUCAUGUUGAAGAUAUUAAUUAAGAUAUAUCAAUGUAAAAGAAUCUCUAUGAUUUUACAACUUAGUAUAGAAUCAAAUGUUUGAAAUGAACAAAUAUUUUAUCUCAUACCUUUUGUCUUCCUGAUUAAUUCUAUACAAAUGAAAGUAUUGUUGAUUUUAACUAGAACUUUAUUUUUUUUUCUUAUGCAAAAGGGAGAGCUGCUAAAUUAGCCAAACUUGACAGAUUGCUCAUGUGCUGGUGGGUUUUCACUGGUCUGACCCACAUGAUACUUGAGGGUUAUUUUGUUUUUUCACCGCAAUUUUAUCAGAAGACAACUCCCCAUUACCUAGCAGAAGUCUGUAAGUUAUCUGUUGCUCUUAUCUCUACACACCAGUAAAAGAUUUGGGUCACCUUUAGACUUUAUUUAUAGUGCUCCUAAUAAAUAAAAUUCAGGGAAGGAAUACAGCAAAGGUGAUUCAAGAUACGUAGGACGGGAUUCUGGAGUAAUUGCUGUAGAAGGAAUAACUGCAGUUUUGGAGGGUCCAGCUUGCCUUCUAGUAACGUAUGUUUAUAUGUUAUAAACUUCCUUCUAGUAAAUAUAGAGCACUAUACUUAUUUCUUUUACCAAAAUGUCCAUGUAAAGGGAAGAAAAUCAUGUUUUAAUUGGGAAAUAAGAGAGAUGAAUGACAUUGCAUUAGAAGGUCAAACAAUUUUUUGCCAGGACUGGUAGAAACUUAUAUGUAGCUUAAAGUUGCUAAUUCAUUCCAUAUGAUUGUGUUUAAGAAACCAAAAAAAGAAAAAGGUAAUAGUUUCUGAAGAGUGCAAGCUCCUCAUAUAGCGAGAUGCUUAUAUAGUCAACAAUAUUAGUUGCCCUCAUACCUUCAGUUAUUAAACUCCAUAAAAAAUGUCAAUGCUAAAUCUACUAACCUGUGAUACAAGUGCAUAUGAUUGCAUUAGAAGGUCAACAAUUUUUUGCUAGGACUGGUAGAAACUUAUAUGAUUGCAUACGAGAGAUGAAUGACAUUGCAUUAGAAGGUCAACCAUUUUUUGCUAGGACUGGUAGAAACUUAUAUGUAGAUUAAAGUUGCUAAUUCCAUUCCAAAUGAUUGUGUUAAGGAAACCAAAAAAAGAAGAAGAGAAGGUAAUGGUUUCUGAAGAGUGCAAGCUCCUUAUAUAGCCAGAUGCUUAUAUAGUCAACGACUGAACAUAUUAGUUGUCCUCGUAUUUUCAGUCUUUAAACUCCAGCAAGAAUGUCAAUGCUAAAUCUACUAGCCUCUGAUACAAGUGCAUAUGCUUGCGUGUGCUACUGCGCUCCACUGUUAAUUGUUCUUAAAUGAUAUUCUUAACAUUUGGCAGGUAUGCUAUAGCCAAAAGGAAAUCAUACAGCCACAUACUUCAGAUUGCUAUUUCUCUUGGACAGCUAUACGGGACUGCUGUAUAUUUCAUCACUUCUUUCUUGGAAGGGGAUAACUUCGCCACAAACUCUUUCUAUUAUUAUGCCUACUACAUAUUUGCAAACUCUUUUUGGGUUUGGAUACCUACACUUAUAGUUAUUCGGAGCUGGAGCAAGAUAUGUGCAGCAUUUACAGCCCAAGAGCAGAAAAAUUCAAAGGCCAAGAAACGUUGAAGGUUAGCUAUGAAGUACAAGCUUGAUUUAUUUGAUUAUCCAUUCAUGUGUGGGGGCAUUUACACAUAUAUAUUAAUCAUACAAUGAGAUAUGUAUGCAUGCAAAUCGUACAAUGAGAUAUUUGGAUAUCCUUACCAGAUCUAAAUUUUUUCACACAUAUUGGAUUUUUAAACGUAUUUGUUUACCUUUUGCUAAUUCACUCUCCUGAUCUCUUAGAGUAUAGUCUGAGAAGUUUUGGUGCUUUCUACCUUUUGGUUUCACGGCUGCAAGUAAAAUUAGUUGAAAUUAAGUAUAGCCUAGAACCUAGAUCCACCCUCUAGUGCUGUCGAAGUUGAGUGCAAUAUCCUUUGGGAGUUAAAUUAACCCAUCUUGCUAGGUUAUUCCUGACAGCCCCUUAAAUGUAGAAAAGUAGAGGUGCCCGAAGAAGUUCACUUAUGAUAACUAGAGAUAUCUUCUAUUGGUAACUGGAGAUCGAUGGUUUGAGCUUCAGUGGAGAUAUACACUGUCAUUUUAAUGUUGCCCCUUGUCACCUAGAUCAAAAUUAGCAAGUAUAAACUAGGAAAAUCUGAAAGAAUAAUUUAUGUACCUAGAUCAAAAUUAGCAAGUAUAAACUAGGAAAAUCUGAAAGAAUAAUUUAUGUACCUAGAUCAAAAUUAGCAAGUAUAAACUAGGAAAAUCUGAAAGAAUAAUUAAUGUAAGACAAUAUCAAAGCUAGAGUUUAACAAAGGGAAUAAAGCCUCCGGCCUGGUCACAACAUGCAAAACAAUGUUUUAACUUUGUAAUUACCGCCAUUGCUGCGUAUUUGGUUAGUUGAUUAAUAUAAAAAGUUUUAGUUCUCUCCUCUAGGCAAAUGCUUAUCUAAAAUCUUUCUUCUAUGGACCGUAAUAAUUUCUGGUUCCAACAUUCUUUCACCAUUGCCACAUUUGGCAUUAUAGCUUUGAUAGUUACUCUACGCCGCUGUUUCACAACCAUCACUCUUCGAGAUCAACAGGCUGAAGCACUACCACACAAAUCCGUCAUCCUUGAACAUACCGACAUUAGGAGCAUCCCAACUCAUAGAUACAUCAGGGGCAAUAGACAGUCUGCUGAAUGUGCUGUGUGUUUAAGCGAGUUUGAAGAUAAUCAAGUAUUGCGAACUUUGCCUAAAUGCAAUCACUCGUUUCAUGUUGAUUGUAUCGAUAUGUGGCUCUAUUCACAUCCGAAUUGUCCGACAUGUCGGACCAGUAUAAUGCCUUCUCCUUCAUCUUUGCCUGAAGAACACAUACACAUUCAAGUGGAGCCAGUACGAUAACACUUGGUUUUAUAUCAUGAUACAAGAUUUAGAGUUGCAGCGAGUAAUUUGUUUCAAGCUAACUUGAUCUCUUUGUCAUUAGUUCUUUCAUCUUACUUGAAGUUGAAUGAGAUUGCCAAAGUUUUAACCAAGUUUCAACAAACGAACUCAUCUUUUUGUAGAAUCAUUUAAAUAUGCAGCAUUCGAGGGGAAAUGAGACGUAAGGCGUCUAUAUCUGGCUAUACAUCAUUUAUUAAUUAAUUAAUUACAAUGUAUAAAACAAAUUGAAAUUAUAUCCACGAUGCAACUCACAUCCAUUUUAUGAAAUAUCAAUAUUUGUAUGAAACAGCAGUUAUUAUAUUAUUAAAAAUAUUAUAGAUAAUUAAUUAUGGGUAUAAGUUUUCUUUGGUCAAAAGUUUUUGUGGUAUAUAUAUUUAGAACAAAAUUCCAUGUAGUCCACAUAUUUACUAUAGUACCGUAGACCAUGUAUAUUCUGCAACUAUAAAAUGGCAUAAAAACAUUGCAAAAUGUAUUAUUUUACAAAUUAUGUUCUAUAAACAUCAUUAUUUUGUUAAAAAUUUUGACAAUCCUAAACAUCCUACAAAUUAAAUAGUGAAAAACACAUUAUCUUGCAAAACAUGUUAAGUUUGCAGAACAUAUUUACAUAUUACAGAACAUAUGUGUUCUACUUGUCGAACAUAAAUGAUUUUCAAUAUUUUUCAUGAAAUAGUGAUAUUUAUAGAAUGUAUUUCACAAAAUAACAAAUUUCAUACGUUUUGCAAUGUUUUUAUGCCAUUUAUAGUUGCAGAACAUACGUGGUGUACGGUAUUACAGUAAAUAUUUGGACUACAUGAAACUUAUUAUAUUAAAAGUUUUGGAGGCCAAGAUCAUUUAAUUAUUAAAUAUGAGACAUCUAAAUCUCUUCCUAAUAUAAUUGUUCUCUUUGACUAUUCUACAAAAUCGGAAAAAUAACAUCAAGCAGAGGAAAUGUUGUGAUAGGUGAUUGGGGAAACCGUUCUCCUCUUGCUUUCCGAUGACGCAUUGUAAUCUUUCCGACCUCAAACAAUAUCUUAUGAUCCCGACGACGGUGUGUCAAAGAGUGCUUAUCAAAUACAUUGUAGGGGGCCGUUAGAUAUAUAUUUAAAAGAUUUAGAUUCAAUCUUAAUUUUUAGUGGAUCUGCUAUAAAUAUCCGGGGAACGGGAGUUCUCCUUUUCAGGGAUAAUAUUCGUGAAAUAAAACUUUGCCGUUCUGCAGAUAUUAAUAGCGGAUCUAUUAAAAAAUAAAAUUUAAUCUGAACUCUUAAAAUAUAGAUCCAACGGUAUGUUAAAUAAGUCAUUCCUGACACACGGUUGAUUGUCAAGGAACAGGACCCGUUUCUUAUUUUCAACAACCUUCUGAGUCCUUAGGCUUCAUUAUUUUUAACAACCUUAUUUUAUAUUUUAAUAUAAUAUAUAUUUAUUUCUAAUUUUAGUUUUAAUACUUUUAAUUAUCAAUAUUACAUUUUUAAAAAUGAGCAUAUCUAUAGAAGUUAUUGGUGUUGUAAUACCUUAUAGCACUUUGAAUUGUUGUAAGUCUAAUUAUUUAUAAGAAAGCAAAGGAUUAAAACCAAUAUCGGUUUUUCUAUGGUGUGUCUAUGGGCACACAUUAAGCACUAACGCUUAUGAGUUUGGUGCAUUUCUAUUGGUCAUCUAAUCAUAAAUAAGGAUGACACUCCUGCAUAUGCAUCAAGUCCACCAAUCAAAAUCCACCAAAUUUAUCAAAUUUAAUGCUUAAUGUGUGCCGGCACACACUAGAAAGACCCAACCAAUAUUUAUAUAUUCAAAUUUAGUAACGUCACCAUUCCGAGGAUUAGUUACGUCAGAGUUUGGAGAAAUAUCACCUACCAAACAAACAGGUAGAGUCUUCCCGAUAAAAACAGCGUAUUGAUUAUUGAUGAACUUGUACUCAGGUAGUUGAAUUUUGUUCAAGUCAGUACAGUGAUAAUUUAUUGUUCUUAAAUGAAGGCACUUAAAUUUGUUAUCGUGUCUUCAAUUUCUUUUCUAAAAUUUACAUAAAUAUAGAAAUAUCAGCAUGAAAAGUAACAAACCUGUCAAUUCUUUUCUAUGCAAAAGGGUAGUUGAACAGUUAAUUUGUAAAAAAAAAAUAAUAUUUUUGCAAAUAACUCCUUAAUUAAAAACAAUUUCAGUAAUUAUUUUUGUGAGAAACAUCUAUCAUGUACAAAAAUCAAAUACCAGCUUAUUUCAAGUGUACAAUAAUAAUAAUAAUAAUAAUAAUAUUAUUAUUAUUAUUAUUAUUAUUAUUAUUAAUCAUUUAACAGAAUAAUUUACUAUAAUAUAUUACGAGCACAUCAUGGAAUGCUAUAUCUUACUUUGAGAGUUUAAAUUUUAUUGCAUAUACUAUAUUUUGCACGUAUAAACAAUUUAUUAAGCUUAUGAAUUUCACAUACUCCUCUCGUGAAAUAGAGCGAGACUGUAGUCAUAUAAAAUUAGGAUACACAAUCUUAUUCUAAAAUAUAUGACAUGCGGUAUUUCUAUCAAAAAUAUUAAUAUAAAUACGUGAAUUCAAAUUUAUUAAUUAUUUUUAUAACAAUUCGGAAUUUAAUUUCUUAAACAAUUUUGAAUUUGAUUUGACACGCUAAAAUUGGAUACGUUCAUGAUACUCGUAUAUGCUACUCCCUCCGUCCCUUUUUACAUGUCCACUUUGAAAAAAAAAUUUGUCCCAAAUUACUUGUCCACUUCUCUUUUCAAAGCAAUUUUUUGUAUGUUUUUUCACAAAGCAACAACUUCGAAUGUUUGACUAGCAUAUAUAUAUAUACACCCAACUCUAUCUAAUUCAUUACAUUUAUUAGGGAUAUGUAUGAAAACAAGAUAUCCAACUAACAUUUACUUAAGAUGCUUUAUUUUUUAAAAGAGACAAGUAAAAAUUGACGGAGGGAGUAUGCAUGGAGGUAGUAGGCAAUUGGAAUACUCCAUGUAUAUUCUACUCCAAUCCUAUUCGGCAUUGCUUAUAACACAUAACAUGUACGUAAGAGAUCUGUCUUACGUGAAAAUUUUGAUUACUCUCUACUCGAGAGGAAAAUGACAGAUAUUUGUUAGAGAGAUAUUAUAAAUAUAUGAGAUUAAAAUUAAGGUGAUCAUAGUCAAUACACUUAACCCGUUAAUGUAGGAUCAAGCGACUUGCUAGUAUUAUUUUGCAACACGUAUAAUUAAUGAUAUACUUGAGUAGACUUUCCUUAGCUGGAAGAUUAAUAUAAUCAUGGCUUAUUGACUCGAAGGAUUACUUAUCAUGUUCAUACUCAUGUCAACGUUUGACCAUGUCUGUAAUCCAAUUAUCAACAAAUUUGUCUAUAUAUUUGUACAUCAACUCAGCAUUAUAAAGAGCUAGCCACCUUUUAUUUGUGUUCCAAAAUCCAAACUUAACUUGGUAUCUUAAUUUAUAGGAUACUUGGACAGUUGAUUACUUUGGAAGUUUUUGUGAGAGAUCAAGAAGAUGAAUCCGCCACCAUCAUCGGCCAUGCCACCGCCAUCGACUGCCGUGGUGUGGCGGUCCGUGGGGCUGACAUUGAGAGUGGUGACAGUGAUAAGCUUGCUCGUGUCGCUCAUCAUCAUCUCCACCAACACCGCCACCUUGUCUUCGAAUUUUAGCCGGAUCGAGAUCCGUUUUCAGGAUGUGAAAGCUUAUAGGUACGCACUGAUUUGCCAUAUCACAUGAUUUAUUGUUUGUGGUUUGCCAUAUUCAUAUGAUUAGGUGAAACUCAAGUAGAAAACUCUCAUUGUGCUCUCUUUGUCUUAAUUUUCUUGUUCAGUCGUCGAAGUCUAAAAAUGCAACUUUUUUUUAUAAAAAAAAUAAUAUUAUUAACAGAAAUCACUUAUCGAAACCCGUCGGGAUAAGUCUCGAAAAUCUGAUUGGGAAACAAAAAACGAGUUAAACAAAUAGCCGUUUCAGAUUGCUUAGCACAUAAAUAUUUAAAUUUUUGAUCCGGAAAAUAUUUCAUCCAUAAUAUAAUGUUCAGAACUAUCAGUUAUUUCAACUGAUAUAGUAGCAACAAAUAAUCCCAAAAUAUGAAGAAAUACAAAUCCACCUUUUAAUGUAAACAACUUCAACAUUUGUUGUUUAUAAUAUUAUCUUGCCAACGUCUAUAUAGAUUUAUAGAAGAUUCUCCAUCUUUUAGUAAUUUUGGACGAUACCUAGAAAUUUCAUUCAACUCAUUGACGAAAUCAUAAAAACGCAGGUACGUGCUGGCAACAAUAGUGAUCGGACUUGUCUACAGUCUCCUCCAAACUGCAUUCACAAUCUACCACGUGACUACCGGAAAUCGCAUCGCCGGAGAUGCCCUUUAUAUUUUCGACUUCUACGGUGACAAGGUACGGCAUACAAAACCCUUCUGCAAACUCGAGUACUAACAUGAGAUAUUGUAUCUAGUUCGAAGCAUUUAAAUUAUGAUCUUUGUAUCUGCAGUUGAUAUCGUAUUUGCUAGCAACCGGCACCGGAGCAGGAUUCGGAGUUACCGUGGAUUUAAAAGAUGCGAAUUCCGGGACAAAUACGGGGAUCGACAAAUUUUUCAACAAGGCGAAUGCGGCAUCGAGCAUUCUUCUUCUCGCCUUCAUCUUUACGGCAAUAUCAUCCGUUUUGUCAUCUUUAGCGCUGCCAAAAAAGGCUUGAGCAUGGUGUAAAAUUAUUAAUGUUUUGUGAGUAGAGCUGUGAAAUUUAAUUUAAUGUAUUUAUUUAUGUAUUGGGAUGAAAUUUGUUAGGCGAGUUAUGUUCAUCUGCGUGCAAAAUAGAUAAAGGUGUGCAAGUAAGCGUCCAAUCGCAUAGGCCUUGUUGUUUACGAUAAGGACCUUGAGUAUUACUGUACAAGUGAGUCAUACAGGUGUAUUAUAAGCUGCUAUAUUUUGUUUUAAUGGAGUCGCUAGCAAAAUUGUGUAGCUGGUUUUCUUUAUUAUUUUAUGAUCAUUCAAUUUUACAAUAGCUCGUAUAUAAAGAAUCCAUCAUUACUGCAUACCUGUCUCUGUUUCGGGCCUUUCGCAACUCGCAACUCCAAGGACCGAUUUUUAAAAAUAAAAUUUAUGACACAUUAUAAAUAUAUCCCGACCACGUUUAAAAUACAGGUAUAUUGAACUAUGUGAUGAUGUCAUAGAUGAAGUCACUUCAGCACUACUAGUUGCCAGUCUGUUAUAGUCUGUUAUAAUCUGUUAGUACAAGUCCACUAGCUUAUCACAAUGUAUCAAUACAUAUAGCUAUAGCAGAGUUAGUUAGGAUACACAUUCAUUCCUGUAUAUUCCACCACUCUCUACCUUCUCUCUCUCAUGUAAUUCUCACUCUAGUUCUUGUAUGAUACUCUGUGUUUCUUAAUGAUUCAUAGCUCCAUUGUUGCAUGUUGUACUGGUAUAUGAAGCUUACUACAAGUUAAGAUGGUAUCAGAGCUAUUCCGCACAUAAUAUCGCUUCAUACACGCAAUCUUCAUCAAUUUCUUAGUGUCUUUCUUGAUUUUUCAUCAAGAUCUAGUGUUUUUGUUGUUGAUCUGUGGUUGCGAUUGAUUUGUGGAACUAUAUCCGAUCGGUUUUGUUCGAUCGAUUCACGACUAAAUGGCACCAAAUCGAUCUAAUACGUUUGCAAAUGUUGUUACUGGAACAAGUUCACAAUCAAUGGAGGUUCCUCCCAUCAAUAAUGCUGGUGGUGAUAGUGAUACUCCAUUAAUUGAUCAUCAGAAUGAGGUUAUAAGCUCUAACAUUCAUCCAUUGUUUUUACACAACAAUGAUCAGCCAGGUAUGAUUCUCAUCUCCAAGAAACUACUCGGUUCAGAGGAUUAUUGUACUUGGAAACGUUCUAUGAAAAUUGCAUUGUCAUGUAAGAAUAAGCUUGUAAUUGCAACUGGUGAAUAUAAAGCACCUGCUGAGGAUUCUGUUCUCUUUCCUCAUUGGAGGAAAGUGAAUGAUAUGGUGAUCACUUGGAUCUUGAACACUGUUUCAGAUGAGAUAAGUAAUAGUAUGAAUUACAUGGACAGUGCAUUUGAUGUUUGGAGUGAAUUGAGUGAACGUUUUUCUGCAGUGAGUGGCCACAAGAUUUAUGAAGUACAGAAAAAUAUGUUUAGACUUGAACAAGGCAAUGAUUCUGUAGAAAUAUAUUUUCACAAAUUGAAGGGGUUUUGGGAAGAGAUUAAGGCACUCGAGACACCAAUCAAGUGUACUUGCACAGCUGCAAAGGACUGGGAUGUUCGAGCAGAGAAAACUAAGUUGAUCCAGUUUCUUAUGGGUUUGCAUUCGAGUUAUACGGCUGCCAGGGGACAUUUGCUAAUGAUGAAUCCAUGGCCAACCCUGAAUCAAGCUUAUAUGCUCAUAAAACAGGAAGAAAAACAAAGGCAGGUACACUCUGAUUCAAAGAGUCCUAUAGCCAUGAUGGUUAAUUUGCCUAAACAAUCACAGGCAUCUGCUGGUUCUUACAAGUCCAAUGAUCGUGGUAAUCUUGAAUGUACAUACUGCCAUGGGAAGAAUCAUGUAAGAGAGAAAUGUUAUAAGUUGAUCGGCUAUCCGGAUAAGAACAAAAAGAAGCCAUUCAACAAACAGUCCACAUCUUCCAAUUCACAGCAGCAAAUGAAUCCACAGGCCAUGUCAGUAACAAGUUCUUGUGAAGAUGUUACCACUAGUACAUCACCUAAUAUCAACAAUUAAAUGGAAAUGCUACAAAGUCAGAUGGCAGCACUUAUGAAGAGCAUUCAACAGCCUACAACACCUAGUACUCCAUUUCAGUUUGGAAAUAACUUUGCAGGUACUGUUUUGUCUCUCAUGAGUACUUUGACUUUGUCUACUCACAUUUGGGUUUUAGAUACUGGUGCCACCAACCAUAUGUGCUGUAAUCUUGCACAUAUGCACAACUUACAGCCAUUACAUGCUCCUAUCACAGUUAAGUUUCCUAAUGGAAAUUCUGCUGAAGUAACUCAAGUUGGCUUAGUUCUUUUACAACCUAUUCAGUUUGUUGUCACAAAUGUUUUGUACAUCCCAUAUUUCACUUUCAAUUUGCUCUCUAUUAGCAAAUUAUCAGCUGAGACAAAGUGCAAUGUCUUCUUUUCGACUCAUGAAUGUCUUAUGCAGGACCAAGCCCAGAAGAAGAUCUGGACACUUGGUAAGCUUGCAGAUGGUCCGUACCAGCUAGAUAACACUCCUCCAUCUUUCUCUAAUGUACUAGCUGUAUCCAAAACAACUUCUGAUUCUGUUUUGUGGCACAAACGAUUAGGUCAUUCUUCCUUCUUUGUUAUGAAUAAAAUUGCUUGUCUUAAGCCUUUUGUCACUGAAAAUACUUGCUGUGAUAUUUGUCCCUUAGCCAAGCAAUGUAGAUUACCUUUCAAUAAAAGCACUUCAUGUGCAUCUUCUCCCUUUGACCUCAUACAUUGUGAUGUAUGGGGACCAUAUCGAACUCCAACUACUGAUGGUUGCAAAUACUUUCUCACUAUUGUUGAUGACAAUAGUAGAGCAGUUUGGACUAUCUUGAUUCCUACAAAACAACAUGUAUCUCAGACUAUCCAGGAGUUCUAUGCAUAUGUGGUCAGGCAAUUCAAAGCCUAUAUCAAAUGUAUUCGAACUGAUAAUGGAGGUGAAUUUUCCAGCAAUGAUUUGUCUGGUUUUCUGAAGUCUCAUGGUAUAUUGCAUCAGACUUCUUGCCCUUACACUCCUCAACAAAAUGGAAGAGUGGAAAGGAGGCAUCGGAAUUUGUUGGAAAUGACAAGAGCCUUAAAAUUUCAGUCUAAUGCUCCUGAUGUGUUCUGGGGAGAUUGUCUUCUCACUGCAACUUAUCUGAUAAAUCGACUUCCAACACAUGUUCUAGGUUACAAAACUCCAUAUGCCAUGUUGUUCAACGAACCACUGUCUUAUGAUAAUCUCAUAUCUUUUGGAUGUCAAGCAUUCAUGGCACAACAUUCAACUGACAAACUAGCUCCAAGGGCAGUGAAAACCAUCUUUGUUGGUUAUCCUCCACUUCAAAAAGGGUACAAGUUGUAUGAUCCCAGUACAAAUACAUUUCAUGUUUCAAGAAAUGUUACUUUUAAUGAAGAUAUUUUUCCUUUCUUCACCCUGGAGCAUAAUUCUGCUCAUAUAACUCCUACACCAAUUUCAUUUUCUGAUGAUCUCAGUACACCAUUAGACAUUCUAUCUCAUUCUGCCAGCCCCACUGAUUCUGGUAUGAAUAAUGAUGUUCCUACUGGUCCAAAUAAUCCAAUUUCUCAGGAUGAUACACCUGCAAAUGACAAUAUUUCUGAUAAUUUUAAUAUCAAUGCUGAUAUCACUUCACCUUUUGAAGGGAGUCCUGUAGAUUUUUCUACUUCUCCAUCUUCUUUUCUUCACACUGAAUAUCCUCCAGAUGAAGAUAAUUCAUCUGAAAUACCUGUUGCUGAUUCUUUGCCUACUAGAACAUCUUCCAGAGUUUGUUCCAAACCAUCUUGGAUGCAAGAUUUUCAUGUGGGAUGUGCUCAGGCUCAGUCUGUUGUUCAUGCCAACACAGUUUUAAUGCAAUGCACUACCAAUGCUGCUAAAUUUGGAAUGCAGGUUGCUCCUUCAUCUGUUUAUGCUUGUUCUGUGGCUGCAGCACCUCACAUCAAAGAGCCGUAUUCAUAUAAGCAGGCUUCUCUGGAUCCCAGAUGGAAUGAAGCAAUGCGUAAAGAAUUAACAGCGCUUGAGUCCAACAACACUUGGAAAAUUGUCCCUCAACCUGCAGGGAAGAAAAUUGUGGAUUGUAAAUGGGUGUAUAAGGUUAAAUACCAUUCUGAUGGUACAAUCGACAAAUUCAAGGCCCGUUUAGUAGCAAAAGGCUACACACAGACAGCCGGUGAAGAUUAUCAUAACACCUUUGCUCCUGUAGCAAAAAUGUCUACUGUACGCAUAUUGCUUGUUAUAGCUACUGUUAGAGGUUGGAAUGUUCACCAACUUGACAUCAACAACGCAUUUUUGCACGGAGAUCUACCAGAAGAGGUUUAUAUGACUAUUCCUCCAGGUCAUGAUUUGCAUGGUGUUGCUAAUUUUGUGUGUCGCUUGCUUAAAUCCAUUUAUGGUUUAAGACAAGCUUCUCGACAAUGGUUUGAGAAACUUGGCACUGCACUCAUGGAACUGGGUUUUACACAGACAGUUGCAAAUUAUUCCUUAUUCAUUCGACAUCAGGGUGAUUCAUUUACUGUUGCCUUAGUCUAUGUCGAUGAUAUCCUGCUCACAGGAACAGAUACUGAUUUCAUCCAUCAUGUCAAAUCAGUUCUCUAUUCCACUUUUACCAUCAAGGAUUUGGGAUUCAUCAAGUACUAUUUAGGACUUGAAAUCCAUUGUACUACUCAAGGAAUGUUCUUACAUCAACACAAGUUUGUUUAUGACUUAAUUGUUGAAGCUGGUUUGGAGAAUGCUAAGCCUGUCAAUCUGCCAGCUGAUACUAAUGUCAAACUUUCGACCCAAGAGGGGGCACUCAUAGAUAAUCCCAGUUUGUAUCGAAAGUUUGUUGGAAAGCUGUUAUAUCUCACUGUGUCUCGCCCAGAUAUUUCCUAUAUAGUUCAUCAUCUAAGUCAAUUUCUUCACAGUCCUCGAGCGCCACAUUUGAUUGCAGUGCAACGUGUGCUACGAUACUUAAAGGGAACUAGUUAUCAUGGACUGUUUUUCUCUGCUACUUCUGACCUCAAAUUACAUGCGUUUAGUGACAGUGAUUGGGGUGCUUGUGUGGAUACUUCCCGUAGCAUCACUGGCAUGUGCUUAAUGUUGGGGAAUUCACUUGUUUCAUGGCAGUCUAAGAAACAGAAGGUGGUAUCUCGUUCUACAGCUGAGGCAGAAUUGAGAGCUAUUGCUGACACUUCUUAUGAGAUAUCUUGGAUGAGUCUUCUUCUGGAUGAGUUGUGUGUGAGUCAAGAACCACCAAUUGUAAUUCACUGUGAUAAUUCUGCCGCUCUAGACAUUGCUGCAGAUCCAGUUUUUCACACCAAGACCAAGCACUUUGCUCUCGAUUGCCAUUUUGUUAGAGAACAAGUGCAGUCCAACCUUAUUAGUCCUCAGUAUGUGCCAAGUGUUGAUCAACUAGCUGACCUCCUAACCAAAGGUCUUCACAAGCGUGCUCAAUUGUUGCUACUUGCCAGAUUGAAUGUUCUAUCAGCACAUUCCAUCUGAGGGAGGGAUAUUGAACUAUGUGAUGAUGUCAUAGAUGAAGUCAGUUCAGCACUACUAGUUGCCAGUCUGUUAUAGUCUGUUAUAAUCUGUUAGUACAAGUCCACUAGCUUAUCACAAUGUAUCAAUACAUAUAGCUAUAGCAGAGUUAGUUAGGAUACACAUUCAUUCCUGUAUAUUCCACCACUCUCUACCUUCUCUCUCUCAUGUAAUUCUCUCUCUAGUUCUUGUAUGAUACUCUGUGUUUCUUAAUGAUUCAUAGCUCCAUUGUUGCAUAUUGUACUGGUAUAUGAAGCUUACUACAAGUUAAGAAGGUAUAGAUGUAAAUUGACUACAUCUGCUAUAAUACUAUACUGCAAAUCAGCUGCUAAUUAAAUCAUACUCAGAUCUCUAUAAUUUAAUUAGAUAUCUUAGUCUAUCCAAACUGAGAUCAACACAUCCAAACUGAGGAAGUAAUCUAGUAACCAACUAGCUAAUGAUCAAGUUGAGCAUUGUAGGAUCUCCCAGAAGAAUGGCUACAACUGUAGACAUAAGAGCUUUGGCGAUCUUCAAGUAUUUCUGACCUCCACCUGAGCUAAGUCCAAGGUGAAGCUCAGGAUUCUUCAGUGACAACGUGAGAGUAUCAUCGUCUUUGAAUUCCCCUGUUUUCCAAUUUUGAAGAAUCAUUUCAGUAACACAACGAACAUGGACAUGGCACUUGUUGCGCUUGGAUUUGUAUGACCAGCCCCCCUCGGAUUUUCCUUUGAGACUCUUCCUGUUGCACCAAAUGCACUUGGAUUCCACUUUGUCACACAACUUGAAUCUCACGCCAUCGCUGACCAUUUUCUUCUCGAGUUCAAGACAGCAUGGAUGCAAGUCCAGAUCCUCGUCUCGACAGUGAUAAACAAAACCAUUUAUAUGAUUCCCGCAUGCAUUACACCAUGUUUCGCGGCUUCUUGGUUCAGAGGAGAACUUCAAGGUGCAGUGCGGGUAAAAAUCAUGAGUUGAAGUUCGAGAAUUUCGCAUGCAGCUGACGUGGAGAACGUAAUCGCAGUGACUCUCUUCGCAUCGGUACCUUGUUCGUUGUUCCGAAUCCUUGCUCUUUGCAUCCGUCACAAUGGAAAGGCUUGUCGAAGUUUCGCAGCACCAGUUGAUGAUUCGGAUGGCUGGGAUGAUAAUCUCUUAUGUCUUCCAUUUCUGCAGAGGCAAAAAACAAAGUGAAGGAGAUAAAGCGGCGGAUCUUACUUAAGUGAAGUAUUUAAUUCGAAGAAUUGAGAGGAACAAAAUCGAAAGGAAAUGAGUAAUAAUGAGAGUAUGUAUAUUUCUGUGUAGUUUGUAGAGCUGGGAAAGAAAGCGAGUACAAAAAGCCGAGGAGAAAAGAUACUGUAGUAUAUAUAAGCAGGUUGGAGUUGUUCUGAGUUUCUAGGAAACUUCAGGGAAUGUUCUUGGUAGUUUACAAAUUACAAGCCUAGUUACUUUUGUUCUCAGCUGCAUGCAAGUUCGAAGUUCCCGUGGCCGUGGGCUGUGUUUAAGUCAAGUUACUUUUGUUCUCAGCUGCAUGCAAAUUCAUGUUUUCACCACCUGUUACUCUCUCCGCUAAAAUAUAGAUUGCUUGAUUUUUCACAUAUUUUUAAAUAUUUUAACAGUAUAACUAAUGUUAUUAUUUUUACAAUUUCUUUCAAAAUUAUAACAAUGAUUGCAUAUUUUUAUUUUAAUUUAUAAAAAAUAACAAUUUGAACUACAUGAUCAACAAUUUAAAAAUAUGUGUAAAAACGGCAAACGGCCUAUAUUUUAGAAUGAUACUCCCUCUGGUCCUUAUUAUAAGUCACUAAGAUUUUUUGCACACAAUUCUAGGUGCUUUGACCACACACUUAAAAUUAUUCUUUUUUAAUUUUUUUUUCUGAAUUAAAAUAUAUAUCACAUAUUUUAAUUUUCAUCACAAAAAAGGUUAUGAUUUUCUAGUGUUAAUCAUUCACUGUUGUGUCAUACAUUCUUCCUUAUCUAUUAUAAUUUUUUGUUUUAUUCAUUCCAUCUUUCAUUUCAUGCAUGUAAGUGAACAUAAAAUUUAAAUUUUUAGAAAGGGGCAAACUCAUAAAAACCUGCAUGUAU